GGGAAUUUUCAUGCUGUUGAUCGAUAUGGUGAGACCAUGAAAUUUGAUUCCUCGUUUAGUGAGACGACGGUGGCUUCCAGAUUUUAUGGUGAGACCACGAAAAUUGAUUCCUCGUUUGAUGAGGAGGUGGCUUCCAGAUUAUCCGGUGGUAAGAAGAAGAAACGACUGGUGGAAUCAGGAGGGCAGUUGUUUUUGGUUGAUAAAAGUUCAGAUUUCGGCAAGGAUGCCAGCCAUGAAAUUAAAAUUUACCGAUUGGAUGAAAAACAAUAUGAGUGGAUUGAAGUGCAUACUUUGGGUGAUCGAAUUUUCUUUGCUGUUAGUGACUGUUGCUUCUCUGUUUCAUCGCGUGAUUUUGGUGAUAAGUACGGUAGAGGAAACUGCCUUUACUAUGCAAAGGGGUCGAUGUAUUUUAACGAUGAAGACAGUGACGAUGAUUUUGGUAUGUGUGGUUGUUGUUGUCCUCUUGAUGAUGAUGUUGUUGGUGGUGAUGAGAUUAGCUACCCUAUUAGCAAUUAUGGUGACAGCACCAGUAUUAGCAAUGGUGAUCACAGGAUUAAUGCUUCUACUAGCAAAUCAGGUGAAGUAGUGGUAGAUAGAUACAAAGGAGUAUUUGAUGAUAACACCUAUGUAUUUACCAUAGAAGAUGGUAAACUUGGAUCGCUGUUAUCAUCCCUUGAUUAUGCAGAAAUUUUAUGGCCACCACCAUCUUGGCUUAACGGUGAGGAUGAGCCUCAUCCACAUGAUCAUGUAAGUCUUCAAAGUUGUUUCAUUUUUUUAAAAGUGUUUGGCCUAAUUGUAACUUGUCACUCAAACAGGAAAUUGCAGAGUCGUUAUUAUCUAUACAUAAACAAGGAUGAUACAGCAAGAGAGAUCAAGUAUUGAAGAAGAGAUGCAAGAAUCCAUUUGCUCUGUGUACUUUCUAAGUUGUCGUUUCACCUUUAAUUGCUUUUGGUAUUGCUUUUGCUUCUUUUUUGUCUUAGUUAAUGACUAAUGAACAGAACAUUUUAGGAACUUCGUUUGGUAUUAGUUUUGCUUCUUUUGUGUUAGUUAAUGGCUAGAGUUUGCACAUUUACAUAGCUAUAGUUUUAACGACUAAAUCGAUUUGCGUUUGUAUAUUUCUACUUUAACUGAUUAUACAGUUUAUUAAGUUCUCUUUUGAGUCAUGAAGAAGAAAGCAGAUGAACAUGAUCGUUUUGUUUUAAUUCUUCUUCUGGGAGGGGAGGAGAGGGAGAGGCCUAGGAAACGACUGUAAUUAACCAUCCCGUGAAUAAGGAACUCAGAUUCGCACUUCUGUAGGUCCACCAGAACAAGAAUAACAGCUAUUCAAAGGAAGAUGGAGAAGUAGAGAGAUAUACAUUAGAAUGGAAUGACCCUUUCUUGAAAUGAUUCUCGCUAUUGGGUUCUUAUGCAUAGUUUUUCUUCUAUGCAUUCACUUAAUUAAAUCACACUGAUUAUCCAGCUAUUGGACUACAAUUACAUUUUUCUUUAACAAGGACUAGAAUUGCAUUAUUAGUAACUAGGUCGUGCAUAUAAUGCAAAGAAAUAUACAUGAAAUGAAGACCCAACAUAACUAUGGAUGGGAAUCUUUUACAACAAAGAGUUCCUGUUCACACACAGUUAUAGCCUCACAUGUUUUAAGCAGAUAAAUGUUUCUUCACCGCACUACCUGAUUGAUGAGCAAAGUACUUUUGCCUUAGAAGAACAUAAGGGUAUCCAAAGAGUGACAGCAAAUGUGCAGGCUUCGAGAAGGAAAGUAUCUCGUACCAAACUAGAUCAUUUUCGUCCAAUGCUAUUGAAAAACGUUCUUCACCAGCCUGCUCAAACACUUGGUAUCACAAACUCAUAUAUUGUCAAGUUUUACAUGCAGCAAUAUAAAGGAGAAUGAUAGGUCUAAGAUGUAUGGUAAGCUUAAAACUUCAAACAUGGAAAAUAGGACAAAACAUUACCAUUCUAGUAAGCAUUGUGUUGGACUUAGACACUACCACUACUAAUAUUAACCUUUUGCAAUGGCUGGGUUAGCAGCUUGUAAAGGAAACAUAAUCUUAAAUCCUUAAUGUUUAUUUUAUAUAGCUAGAUUGAAAUGAACCUAAUGAUAUCAUAACCAGAAAACCUGAACAGUUGAAAGGUAUAGUGUAAGACAAACAAUUGCAACAAGGAGAGCAAACUGACCAGCAAAUGUCCUUGCAGAGUUCCACUGCCAAAACUAAACGAAGCCCCCUUUUUCGAGUUCUUGUUCUCGCUAACAUAAACAACCUGUAGAGGCAUCAUAAGCCACGGGAAGAACUCCUUCACACAAACACAGAACUUUGUCCCACUUUGAAUUUGAGCUUUUGGAUCAACAAACGCCCAAUUCAAUCCAAAAUGCCUGCAAAGUUAGUUUGGUACAUAAUCAGACCAUUGAUCGCAUGAUAUUUCUACAAGAAUAACUGAUAUACCAAACCUCCAAUUUUGAAGGGCAGCUUUUCCCUUUUCAAAAGUCUCACGGCCUGAACCGACUAAUACUCGAGCACAAUUAACAGAGAAACCAUCCUUUGCAAGCUCACUGUCUUGCUUAAGUAGAGGAGCAGGUUUCUCAGUAGUUCCUCUAAAUCUUUUAUCAUAGUUAAAGGAACCAGACCUGUUACAGACGAAACCCUCAAUAAUGAUUCCCACAAUUAAACCAAUAGAAAGGGAAAUAAAUAAAUUACUCAUUCUAUUUCAAUUUGUUGAGUUGACACAGAGUUUAAUCUUAAAAUAAACAUACGUAGAGUGUCCCAAAACGAUGUAGCGGUCUAGAAUCUCUGGUAAACGGAUUAAAAAGCAAGAUAAGACAAAUAAAUUGGAACGAAGCCAGUAACAAGUUCUGGGCAUUCUUUACUUGUUGAUACAUGCUUUCUGCUCUUCAGGAGAUGGACGCGUCCAGCUAAGAAAUACCAUCAAGUACUUAACCUGUAAAGAAUUCACUAAAUUUUUCUGCUAAAGAAAAAUACGAGCAUCAAAAACGAACGUAGAAAUUAUUCAUGAUUGGAAUAAAUAGGAGCAGAGAAGAGGAGUAUGAGAUCGGAAAAAAUCUUUACCGGAGAGUCCACCGCCGGCACUGAGGUAACAGUGGCAGUGAGCCGAUGAAGAUGAGAGAUUUGGAAUUGGGGUUCUGUACUGAUUAACUGAUUAGGGCACUUAUUUUGUAUUGAAAUUUUUAAACAUAAAAUUAAAAUGAAACAAGUCAAAUUUGAGUUUUAUAAGCUAAAUAGUACACACUAUUUUAGGUUGGUAUUUGUAAUCAAUAUUUCAGUUUGAUCUCGCAUGAUUUACCUCGAGGAAUUAAUGUUUAAAAAGAAUGAUCUACUAUGACGAGUUUAAAUUAUUAUUUUUUUAAAUUAUUGUGAUUCUAAAUUAAAAUUGUAAUGUAUCAAAAUAUUCUUUAAUUUUGUGAUCUUAAACGUAAAAAGUUAAAGUUAAAAUGUUAUAAAAAAGAGAGAAAAGAACCAAUCUUUUUAAAAUAGAUUAAAAAGAAAAUAAAAACAAAAGUAUUUAAUUUGAGUCAAAAUAAAUUUAAUUUAAUUUAAUUUUUUGAUAUCCAAUUAGAUCACAAAAGAUAACAUAAGUAUGAUAUAAUUAAAUAGUUAUACUUUAUAAAAUUGUUUUUUUCAAUAUCAAAAAGUUAUAUUUGACUAACCAAAAAAAUAUCAAUUAUUGAAAUAAAAUAGAAAUGUUGACUUUUUAAAUGUGUUUCCUAGAUUCAAUUCAUACGAUUGAAAUAAUAUUUUAUAUAAUAAUUAUACAAAUACGUAUUUGAUGAGAUAACUUUAGUACCCUCUCGUCUCCUAAAAAGCAAAAUGCAACAUGCUAACAAAAAUAUACUUGCACGAAGACACAAACUUUUCUAAAAAGGAAAUAAAGUCAAAAACACAAUUUAUUUAUUUUUUUCGUUCGAUAUUCAUAUUUAAAUUUAACUAAUUUGAGUUUACACCAUAAGCCUCAUUUGUGUUAACACUCAUACCAAAGAUUUUUUGCAUAGUUAAUAAGUGAGGAUUACGCAAGCCUUGUAAGGAGUCCAGUCAUCUCGUUAACCAUCAAUAUAGAACUUUCGUUAUUUUUUAACACUCCACCUCACGCUCAGUGCUUAGCAUCUAGUGCAUGUGCAAUUUUUAUUUUAGGGAACCCCAACAUUGGGUGAGACGGACCCUGCUCUGAUAAUAUGUUAAAUUAGGUCUUAGAUCUAACUCACACCCCAAAAGUUAGCUCAAAGAAAGAAUGAUUGUCUAAGCCUUAUAAAAAGUUCACUCAUAUCAUUAACUAUCGAUAUUGACUUUUGUCAUUAUUUAACAAAGUCAAAUAAAAAUAUCUAAUUAAACGACAAUAAUCUCAAUUACUUUGUUGCACCAAGUCCCUUUAACAGGUAAAAAAAGAAGACCAUACACGAGAGACUCCGAUUUCCUUCGAUUGGAGAAAGUCGAAAGAGUUGCUAUCUAUGUAUAUAGGGAAUUAGGAAACAUUAUCAUAUAUAUAUGAUUAUCCUUUAAUUCGGGCAUCGGCAACCCAAACAAAUUUGGUGAUAGCACUUUUUAAGAGUAAAUUAACUCCAAUUCACUGUACCAAAUUUUAUACCAAAAAAAAUAUUUUUUUCUCUCUUUACUAUUAUAUUAUUAUUUUUUAUUUUAUUUAUAUUUUUUAUUUCUUACAACAAAUUCUUUCUAAAACAUUCACCCUAUAAUUGGGAAAAUGCAUAAGUACCCUUCAACAUAUGUCUGAAAUCUCAGAGACACACUUAUACUAUACUAAGGCUUUUAUAGGAUCUUAGUAUAGUAUAGGUGUGUCUCUGAGAUUUUGGACAUAAGUUGAGGGUGUAUUUGUGCAUUAUUCUUAUAUAAUUCAUAUUAUUUUCUUUUAUAGUCGUUUAAUGUAAAGUUAUUUUAUACCAUGAUUUUUUAAUUAAUAUAAAUUGUUAGCAAAGAUCAUACAUUAUACAUAAUAAUGGAUAAUACAAAUAAAAGUGAAAUCAUUAAUGAAAUAAAAUUAAAUAAAUAUUACACAAUUGAAAAAAUUAUUUUAAAUUUUACAUAAAUAUUUAACUUUCAAGAUCACUAUGAUUCUCUCAUAAAUGCUUUAUUAAUGCAGUAUGUUGUUUAAAAUGAAUUUCUUUCUCAUUUAUUAUUUAUGUCGAGCUAGAAAUUGUUAAAAUUAAUAAUUUUUAUCUAUUGUCAUUUCUAUAGUCGGAGUUAGACCUUUCGAUGCAUCUUGAAAAAUUAAUUUAUAAAAAAAACUGAUUUUUAUAUCUAAAAUCAAUAUUACAUAAAAAAUAAUUAAAUAUAUCAAAAAUUUAAUUAAAAUAUAUUAUUUCUAUACUAUUUAAUUAAAAAAAUUGUAUAAUAAAAUAAUAUUAAAAUAUGUAAUAAAAUGAAUUGGUGUGAUAAAUAACGUUAUGUCAAAUUUAACGUAAUAAUAUUCACACUAAAAUAGUGUGUAAUCUAAUGUCGGGGUGAGGCACCAAAAAACUAAAUUUUACGCUAAAUGAAAAUUUUAUGUAAAAUUUGAUGCUAGGUUUGAAAUAGUUGAAAUGGUUAACCCUCUUCAUUUUUCACACGUGGGACUUUUGCUAAAAUAAAAAAAGAAAAGAAAAGUAGAAGAAGUGUUCCUCAUAAGGUGGGACGUGUAAAUGACAAUCCUUUAAUUAUUAGGUGAAAAAUAAAGAAGGUGCUACUCGAGAUAAUGUACCAGCUACUCCCCUAGUGCCUAGUCCCCCUUUUCUUUUCUUUUCUUUUUUUUUUAAAAACUCCUUUCUAUUUUUUUUUAAGUUAAUUUUAAAAAGAAUGAUUUUUUUAGUUAAAAAUUUAAUUUUAAUUUUUUCAUGACAUGUUAAGAUCACAAGAUUAAAUGAUAUUUUAGUAUAUUUUAUAUUAUUUCAAUUUAGGAUCACAAAAUUAAAAAAAAUUUUCUUUUUUAUUUUAUAUUAAAUCAAAUUAGAUCAUUCUUUUUUAAACGGAUGAGAUAUUAAUUAAUUUAUUAAGGAAAUUAGUUAGCUUUACAUUUUUUUCAAAAGAGCAUUAAUGUACUCUUUUCAUAGAAAAAGUAUAGUUGAGCUGUGUACUCCAAAAGUUUCAUGUCUCUAUUCCAUUUUCAUCUCAACCAAUAGGUAGUUGCUUCAGUACUGUCAUGGACUAUAAUAUAAGAUUAAAGAUAUCUCCAAGUAGCGUGAUAUUCAAGUCCAUUACGACUAAACUGCAGUUUUGGUGAAGAUGAAAGAGAAGAAGAUGAAGAAGCUGUAUUCUUGGCCCAUAUGGGCUGAUCUUCCUGAAGAACUACUUGUUAAGAUCAGUAAGUGCCUCAAAUAUUCAUUUCAAGUUGGUCAUUUUCGUGCUGUUUGUACCUCUUGGAGAUCCGCAGUUCCAUUAUUUCCCCUUCAUAAAAGACUCUCCAUUGUCCCUAAAUACAUUGGCAGUAAAAAGCCUCAAAGUAAAUGCAUGAAUAGGUUCGUUUUCCGGCUUGAUCUUCAACAACUUCCAUCACCAUCACCGUCACCCACCAGUUAUUUGAUAGCUGUGGCGGAACAAUUCAACGGAGACGGCCAAAGCCAACUCCACCUAUUGAACCCUGUCACUGGAAGUCCUAUUCCUAUCUCCUCAUCACCAUCAAACUUGUUGUUUCCAAGAGAGAUUAAUUUGAACAAAUUUCGCGUCUCUAUACUGCAUAAAUCUUCCUUGAUGUUUCAUCCACACACAAAUCGCUAUCUUAUUGGUAAAGUUGUUUAUCUUUCCACUCUCCGACAAUCCUCUGACGGACGUAUUCCGAAAGCAGCUGCUGUUCUUGGAAGUGGAAAGGUGUCUUUGUUUACAAUUAAUACAAGAGAGAGAGUUAUCUUAAAUUAUUUGAUGGAUGGUCUUGUUAGAGACCAUAACCUGAAAAAGCCUUUUUAUCAUGAUGUGGUGAAGUAUAAGGAGAAAUGGUUCGCUAUUGAUCAAUAUGGGCGAGGAGUUAUGGUGGAUUGUUGUUCCAAAGUGAGUCUAGUUACAAAUCCUCUGUUUCAUCCAAACAGGAACGGUUACUUUCGUAAGCACCGAUCAUACUUGGUGAAAUCAUCAGGGGAUGCAGAUCUAUUUCUAGUGGACAGGUACUUGGACAAACCAUCUGAGCAAACAAAUUACGCUGAACAACAUGCUGCAACCUCUGAUGAUGAUGCAAAGCAACCAGAAUACGAUAUGGAGGUUAGAUUCAGAGUGUAUAAAUUUGAGGAAGAGGAGCAUUAUUGGAAGGAAGUUACAAACUUGAAUGACCAAGUCAUAUUUGUUGGAGAUGAUGCAUCGUAUUGGUCCUACUGUGUGUCUGCUAAAGAUUUUCCAGGGUGCAGAGGAAAUUUAGUUUACUUCAUAGAUCAAUUCAGGAAAGCUGGGGAUGGAGAUCUCCAUGAUUUUUGGGAUGCGCUAAAACAUGAAAAUGACUAUUCACUUGGGGGAUUUGACAUGGAGAACGCGUUUAUUGGGCCAAUGGCAUGUUUCCCCGGUUACACUGAUUUUUUCUGGCCACCUCCUAGCUGGCUCAACUGAGAUUUUCUCUCCAAUGACAUUUACUCCUAUGAUCCAUUUUAUGUGUUAGUCAAAAAUAUUAUGUGAAAAGUAUUGUAUGUCACUGCUUUUUCAGUAAAUUCUAGACAAAAGUCAUUUUCGUUUAACUCAAUAUUUGCUCGCAACCAUUUUUUUUAGUUGGCUAACUAGAAGGUUACCUACAUAUCCGGCUAUCAUAGCUUUAAUCCAAACUCUAUAGUAAUAUUUACAAAACUUAAAUUCAGAAUCAAGAAUCCAAUUACUAACUGAAGGGUAUCUAUCACUUCCCUCAAAAAGAAAAUCAGAUGGGAUGGGACAAGAAUGUAGAGUAUGAAUGGACAAUCACAGAAACACUAGUGUUGUGCUUUAAUGCCCCAGAAAAAAGAGUGCACAAAAAAGCAUGCACUAUGCCUAAUAUAUAUAACCGCAUUGAUUCUUCGCACCAAACUCAUGAGUGUUCACAUGUUUCCCUCUUACCCUGUGAAAAGCUCCCAGAGAAAUUAACGUUUAGAGUGUCUCUUGCUAUCACUCAACACAUUCACAUGUUUCCCAUUUACCUUGUGAGAGAUUCCAGAACAAAUUCUCUGCAGAAAUUAACAUUUGGAUGAUUUAUCUAAUGUUACAGUUCAACGCAUAAUUUUCUAUUUUGUUAUUGAUGAUAAAGAAAUUUGAAAUCAUGGUCUCAAAGUAGUUAGAGUUUUUUUUUGUUCAAAAAACAAUGAACAAGUUGAUUCUGCAUAGAAGAAGGAAGUGGGUUUGCCAUUGGAAGUCCCAAUAACAUACUGAUAGACCCGUAAACUACUUGAUCUAACUACGUGCAGAUAUAUCAAGGACUUAGGCAUUGGUCUUGACAUGAAUGAGGGCAAAAUAGUGCAACACAGGUUCAAGAUGCUUGGGUGUUGGCAAGGCAACUUGAACAUGCAAGGCUUACGUGCGGGCUAGAGUCAUCGGCAAGGCAGCGUGUUGGCUUGACAAGACAAAGCUGUGAAGACUUGACGAUGGUAAAAACAAAGGCAUUUCACGUGAAUUGCUGAGAUAAAACUAAGUGUUGGAGGGCAGCUAAAAUAUUCUAAGUGUUGGAAGCUGGCUGAAAUAUUCUAAGUGUUGGAAUGUAGCCUGAAAUAUUCUAAGCGUUAGAAUAUUAAUAUUUCGUGUGGAUAAAGAUGUAAUUUGGAUUAGAUUCUAUCUGUUAGAAAUAUAGCUGUUGAAAACAUAGUUUGAAUCCUGUGAUGACAAGUGUCGGACAUGUGUCAUUUGUAACUGCCGCAUGUAACUGCCAUGUGCAGAAAUUUUACUAAGGGUGGAAAUUUCGUUUAAGGCAUAGUGGGUGUUCUUGGCCUUCGACAAAUUCGUGAAGCCUUCCCUUUGUAUUAAUUAUAAGGUUAAUAAAUGUUGGGACGAGUUCGUGUAUAUUCUGGCUGUUGUUUAACUUUGCUAUUUAAGUAUUUUUUUUUACUUAGUCAAAUUUGUGGUGUAAGAUAGGUUGAGUAUUGCAGGCGUUUGCAAGACUGCCUAAGGUGGUGUUCGGUAAAAAUAAAUUGACCCUUUUUCAAUUGGUAUCAGAGCACGGUUGAACGAUGGUGAAAAACACAGAACUGUGGGAACUGAAACAAAAAAUUGAAGCAUUCGUUGGGUUUACAGAUGAUAAUUUGGGAGACCCUUCGUUUGUAGAUCUGUUGACACAAGUCAUUGAUUUGAGACUUAACGCUGAGAAAGUUCAAGGGGAGAUUGGUGUAUAUCGACAGAAUGUUGACAAACACAUCACUAAAAUCUUGAAUUUUUGUACCACAACUACACAACAACUUGAAGGACUGCAUAAGGAAAAUAAAAACCUUCGUGUAGAAAUCGUUUUAUUGUGUCGGGCGGUGGCCACGUUGAGUUCAAAUCGUGUUGAAUCAUCUAAGGUUAAAAUUCCAGAACCUAAAGCCUUUAGUGAUGCAAGAAGUGCUAAAGAACUGAAAAACUUCAUUUGGGCCAUGGAACAGUAUUUUACUGCUGCAAGGGUGCCUGACGCUGACAAGUUAAACAUUACCAUAAUGUACUUGACGGGUGAUGCUAAACUUUGGUGGAGAACUCGAAAUGCAGAUGAUGUAAGUGUUGGUCGUCCUAGAAUUGAUACGUGGGAUAAGGUAAUAAAAGAAAUGCGCGAUCAAUUUCUCCCUAGCAAUGCAUCCUGGCUUGCAAGGGAUAAGUUGAAAAGGCUAAGGCAGACAUGUUCGGUGAGGGAAUACAUUAAAGAAUUUACCUCUGUGAUGUUAGACAUUCAAAACAUGUCUGAUAAGGAUAAGUUACACAACUUCAUUUAGGGUAUGCAAAGCUGGGCUCAAAACAAACUUCGGAGGCAGAAUGUGAAAGAUAUGGCUGGCGCAAUUGCUGCUGCAGAUUCGUUGGUUGAUAUCCGGACAACUCGUCCUUUGACGGAUGUUCCAUCUACUUCAAAAACUAAGAAAAAGAACGAUAAGAAAGGGGAAUGGAAAAAGAUAGUCGUAAGGACUAUAUAAAUGAUAAAGGGCAAAUGAAGGAUGGAAAAGACAGACCAAAGAACAAAGAUGGUAAUUCUAAGGGCUGUUGGACUUGUGGCGGUCCUCCAUUUGGCCAAGUCUUGUCCAAACCAGGAAAAAGUAAAUGCUUUGCUUGCUGGAAAUAUGAAUAAGGGAGAAAGAUGAGGAAAUCGUGGCUGUAAUGGCAAACCCAUUGGGAUUGUCCUUCAACCAUAUUACGUGGGUUAAUAAUGUUGGAGAAACGUCCAGUACUUCGAAUCCUCAUGCUUCCCUAAUUCAUAUAGAAAUGACAGUGAAAGAACAACGUGUGAUGGAAAUGGUUGAUACAUGAGCUGCUCAUACAUUUGUAGAUGUGAAAAUUGCUACAAAAUUGGGGCUAAAGUUGUCUAAAAUCCCUUCCUACGUCAAAACAGUCAAAACAGUCUAUGUCGACUGGAAAUUGGGUGGAAAAAUAUAAUUUGAUGGUGAUGUCGCUUGGUGAAUUUGAGAUCAUACUUGGGAUUGAUUUUCUAAGAAAAUUCUAGUUUGUUCCGUUUCCUCAUUUAGAUGGAGUGAUGGUUAUGAAUGGAAGUAAGCUGGAUUUCUUAAAGGAUUUCAUCUAUUUGGUAACAUUAAAGUUGCAAAGAAGAAAGACAAGGGAAUGUUCUUGUCUGCUAUGUCAAUCUACAAAGGGCUGAAGAAGGGUGAUGACACUAUACUUGCUUCCUUGGUUGAAGUAAAACCUGAUGUUCAUAUGGAAGUGCCUGAUUAUAUUGCUGAAUUGCUUAAACAGUAUGCUGAUGUUAUACCGCCUGAGUUACCAAAGAAUUUACCACCAAUGAGGGAUAUCGAUCAUAAAAUUGAGUUGCUGCCUGAUACGGUUGCUCCUGCACAGGCUACUUAUCGUAUGACUCAUAAGGAAUUGGCUGAAUUGCGUAAACAAUUGAACAAAGUGUUGGAUGCUGGAUUGAUUCAGCCAUCUAAGGCUCCAUAUGGUGCCCCUGUUUUAUUUCAAAAGAAACAGGAUGGGACGAUGCGAAUGUGUGUAGACUACAGGGCGCUGAAGAAGGCAACUGUAUACUUUUAGAGAAUAAAAUCAAUACUUCUAAAUUAUAUAUCACUGGGGACUGAUUUAGGAAGUUGGGAAAUGGUAAUUGAGAAAAAUAAUAUGUUCACAUGUGGAUAUUUCUAUAUACUCAUUUUUUAGCGUAGCCCACUAAUAAACUAAAACAUUUUCCUUUUAGAAAGGUACACAUAUUAAAGACCCAUAUUAUUUCAUCAUUAAUUAUAAUAAAAAUAAAUCUAACUCAAUUUUAUAAUAUAAAUAAAAGGCCGAUUAUUAACGAAUGAUAAAUAAAGCAAAUCUAGCACAAACAUAAAUGAUAGAAUUAAAAAAUUAUUGAACGAAUAUCUCUCAGUAAAUAUAGCUGAUACGUUAGUUAGUAAAGUAAAGAUUAAUAUAAAAACAACUAAUUGGAAAAGUGAGUCAAUAACUAAUCGGUUAAUUAAUGCAUGUGGAUUUUUAAAUUAUUCGCACUGCCCCAGCAUCAACUGGUACAAGGAGGAGGCACGAUAGCGAAGAUCAAUCCAUCUCAAUCUACAAAAAGCAUCGCCGUGGGAAGAGCCGCUUCCUUCUUGCUUGAUAGGGGGGCGGGAGCCGGACAACACAUAGCUGGAAGUCAGAGGAUGGAGAGAACCGCGACGCUUUACCUUACGAAUAUCUAAAGGCGAAGAUCUCUUUUCGACUAGCAAGUUUACGUACCUAGGUCCUAAGUUUCUCAUUACUCGGUGAAGUCUGAUUUGAGCCCUGGUCAAACUGAUCUCUCCGGCGGGCGGAGGAUGUUCCUCCAUUUAAGUGGUUCUCGCUUCUCCUUGUUCCUGUUCCUAACUCCUCCCCGGGUAGUUCCCAAUGUUUGGCACUUUCCAUACGCUGCUCUCCGAGACAGUUCAUUCAGCUGGAUUGUGGGUAUAGCAGGACAAUUGCUUUCUCUAGAAGGAAGGCCUUGGUUUGGUACUACGAGCCCUCUGCCCCACGCAUCUAACCAGCUCGCGUGGUUCACCGGUUCCACAGACUAGACCAAAAGAGUGAUUCAGUCGAUACAGAGGUGCGCUUGGAGUGGGGGGUGUGCCCCUAUAAUCCAUGGACGACCAGUGGAGUUCAUAAAAGAAAGCAAAGAAAGGUCCGCGACAAAGCUGUCCCCUCUCUCCAUAUCUCUACUUACUGGCUGGGUGCAGAUAACACUGUAAUAAUAACAAAGCCAGAUAGAGAUACUGUUCGUUCAGGGAAGGAAGUCAGAGACUCCCUUUUUUUUGGUUUAAGGGCUGCUCUCCCUACCGAAGUACCAAAGGCUUUCGAGGCUUACACCGAGUUUCAGUUUCAAAAGGGAGAAAAUAUCACUAGAACGAGGUUCAGUUCAAAUCGGGUGGAAGAGAGCGGUUUAGUGGCUUUGGGGAGUCCAUUGCAUCAAGAGUAUAGAGAUUGAUUGGGGCCAAGGACCCUUUUAGCAAACCAGGAAUAUAGUUACGUGUGUGGCCCGGCCCAUAAGGGCCAUGCGGACUUGACGUCAUCCCCACCUUCCUCCAGUAUAUCACUGGCAGUCCUUCGUGAGUGCGGCACGCACCUUUUUGUUUGUUUCGGAGCCGUUUGUUCCAGGAAGCACAACAAAAGAACUCUAUCAAUUCUGUCACUCUUAUCUACGAUAGCAGCAAACUCCACUUCUGAAACAAGAGAAAAGAUCAUAUCGGCAACAGCAAGUAAAGUCUGAAAUGCCUCAGAAGCAAGUCUCGGCUUAGCUGCCUUUUCACCUCUUCUCUUCCGUCGGUCUUGUACUGAGCUGUACCCAUAGAUCUAUAUGAAAAAUAGAUAUAUGAAAAUUCAAGAAAUUCAUUUUCAAAAACCCGGGAUUUCAGAGGCGAACGACGACAUAAAGGUUCCCCAAGUCAUCCAUGGCGGCCGGGCAAGCUCUCGGCACAUCCAAUUCCAUUCCGAUCAACAACUUGGAGGUAUGGCUGAGUGGCUUAAGGCAUUGGGUUGUUAUUCUGGUAGACAUCACCCGAACGCCGGAAAGGAUGGGGGAAAUCCUCCAGAGUCUCCAAACGGAGAGACGCCAUAGCCCCUACUUUCGGGAAGUCCAAACGGAUUUCUGAAACUUACGGGGUUCUGGAGGUACGGAGAUGCAACUGCGAAAGGCCUGUCGACUUGAGUCGAGCUAACUUUCGAUCGAGGACUACCGGUGAAAAGUGUUUGUAGCGUCAAUUCCUUUCGGUGAAGGUGAUAGCCCUGUAGAUUCGUUCCCAUGGUUCGAUCCUUCCCAGUAAAACGCGACGUGUUCGAAUUCUGAUCGCUUUUACGCGGAUAGCAGCAUGGGCAAAGCACUCUGCUGCGGCGAGCAGCCGGUUCUUAUUGCAUUCACCAAGAUAGUCUUGCUCGCUCCUUUCCUUACAGUCAAGUGCCUUUCCGCUCCUGAACUCUGCGGCGAGUUCAGCCACCACCUUCGGGUCUGGGCUCUGCUCGAGUUUAAGACUAAACCCAAGACCACGCUCUUCCCUUUUGAGUCUGCUCUUAGGUGCCCUAGCCCGAAGAAGGAAAGACGAGGCAUAGCAAAGGCUAAGGCGAUGGAAGCAAGACUGAGUCCCUGUGGGGGCAACUACUAAGCUCCCGCCCACCCUCAACCAAUUAGGGUAAAGUGUUCAUUCAUACCUUCAACAGCACCGAGAUAUUGGCCCAUGACCAUGUUUACUUCAUCUUCAAGAGCAAGCAUCCUGGCUCUCAGGGCCUCAGGCAACCCUGGAUCAUUUCCUACUUCCUUAGUGAUUCCAAGAAGAUGCUUCAACCCCGUUAAGGAACGGACCGGAGGGAACCGCAACAUGGGGAAUGUCCGCGUCUCGUCGCAAGGCUCAUUUUUCAUUGUGGGUCAUAAGGCGGGCAGCUUUAUCUGAUCAAGGACUAGCGCCCCUGCAAUCAGAAAGCCUUUUGAUAACCUUACUACUAAUAGAAAGGGGAAAGAUGCGCUCAAUCCCCCCGGGUAGCCAUAUUUGCAUGGAAUUACAUCAGUACAUUAGUUAGACGAGCUGGUAGCUAGCUACCCCGAUUCACACCGAGUUCUCUUUGUCGGGCAUGGAGAAAGCUCCAAGGAUUACCCUGGGGUUAGACCACUCUACGGAACCCCUUUUGACGGCUGCUCUGUGCCACAGUAGACAUAAGAAUUUUUUCCUAUUAGAUAUGAAAUAGCUCAGACAAAAAGCUCGAACGUAAUUGACUUCUUUCUUAACUUAAAUAAAGGAAGAGAUGAUUUGGAGAAGAUAUACUAGUAAUAAUUUUAUUUAAAUAGUUCAUUGAAAAGAACAAUGUACAACAUCAUAAAUUAAUGUGUAAAAACUUUAGAGAAAAAAUAUUAAUUAGUAAAAGUUCAAUGAUUUUUCAGAAUCGAUUGUUAUGUUAUCCAUUUAUUCUACUAUAUUCAAAAUUAUCCAUACGAAGCUAUGAAUAAAAUAUACUGAAUUUUACCAUCUAGCGACGUAUUUAUAUAAAAAAAUAUGAAGAAUCUGAAUGAUCGAUAUCAGAUGAUUAGGAAUUUUUACAUGAAAGAAUAGUUUUUCAGAAUUAAUAGUUUUGUUUCCCAUUUAUUCUACAUGUUUGUUUUAUAAUUAUCACUAUAAAGCUAUAACUAAAAUAUAUCAAAUCUUACCGUCUAACCAACAUAAUCUAUAUUAACACUUAAAAAAAAUGAAAAUUCCAAAUAACCAAUAAGAUGAUAAGAAUUUAUACUCGAAAGAAGAAAUUUAAGGAUCGAUUGUUAUGUUUUCCAGUUAUGACACACUCGUUUUAAAAUUAUCACUAAGAAGCUAUAAUUAAAAUAUACCAAAUCUUACAGUCUAGCGAAUAUAAUCUCUAUUGACACUUACUUUAAAAAAAUUCAAAAAAUUUGAAUGACCGAUAAGACAGUUAGAAUUUUAACACAAAAAAUUAAUUUUUCAUAAUUAGUUGUUAUGUUAUCCACUUAUUCUAUACACACAUUUAAAAUAAUUCCUACGAAGCUAUAAUUAAAAUAUAUUGAAUCAUACCAUCUAAAGUUAUAAAAAAGGAUAUGAAGAACUAAAUAACUGAUAAGAUGAUUAGAAUUUUUACACGAAAUAAUAGUUUUUCAGGAUUGAUUGUGAUGUUUCCAACUUAUUCUAUAUACUUCUUUUAAACUAUCACUCUAAAACUAUAAUGAAAAUAUACCGAAUCUUACCAUCUAGACAACAUAAUCUAUAUUAACACUUAAAAAAUGAUAUGAGUAUUCCGAAUGACCGAUAAGACUGUUAGAAUUUUUUACACGAUAGAUGAAUUAUUAAGGAUCAAUAGUUAUGCUUUUCAAUUGCUACGCACUUGUUUUAAAUUGUCACUAAGAAGCUAUAAUUAAAAUAUACCAAAUCCUACCGUCUAGUCGACAUAAUCUCUACCUACACUCAUAAAAAAAUGCGAAGAAUCUGGACGACCGAUAAGACGGUUAGAAUUUUUUACACGAAAGAGUGAUUUUUUAGAAUUGAUUGUUAUGUUAUCCACUUAUCUACACACGCAAUUAAAAUAAUUUCUACGAAGAUAUAAUUAAAAUAUGCCGAAUCUAUUGACGGUUAGAAAAACGAAUAUAAAGAAUCCAAAUGACCGAUAAGAUGGUUAGGAUUUUUAUACUAAAAAAUAAUUUUUCAGGAUUGACUAUUAUGUUCCCCACUUAUUCUACACAUUCGCUUUAAAAUUAUUAGUACAAAUCUAUAAUUAAAAUAUACCAAAUCUUACUGUCUAGCCAACAUAAACUAUAUUAACACUUAAAAAAAAGGCUAUGAAAAAAUUCGAAUGACCAGUAAGACGGUUAGAAAAUUUGCAUGAAAGAAUGAUUUUUAGGGUUGGUCAUUGUGUUUUUAAUUAUUUAUCAAUACGUUUUUAAUUUAUCAUUACGAAUAUAUAAUUAAAAUAUAUUAAAUCUUACUGUCUAGCUGACGUAGUCUCUAUUGACAGUUAUAAAACUGAAUAUAAAAAAUCCGAAUGAAUGGUAAAAUGGUUAAGAUUUUGUACACGAAAGUAAAAUUUAUAGAAUUGAUCGUUAUGUUUUCCACUUAUUCUACACACUCGUUUUAAAAUUAUAACUACAAAACUAUAAUUAAAAUAUAUGAAAUCUUAUCAUCUAGCCAACCUAAUCUAUCUUAACACUUAGAAAAAGAAUAUGAAGAUUUCGAAUGACUGGUAAGACGGUUAUAAUUUUUUACACGAAAGAAAGAUUUUCAGGAUCGAUCGUUAUGUUUCUCACUUAUUAUACUCUCGUUUUAAAAUUAUCACUAAGAAGUUAUAAUCCAAAUCUUACCGUCUAGCUGACAUAAUCUCUAUUGACAAUUAUAAGAAAUACGAAUAAUAAUAUUAAUAAGACGGUUAAGAAUUUUUACAUAAAUUGAAUAAUUUUCAAUAUGUUUUCCACUUAUACUACACACGCAUUUUAAUAUCAUCACUAUGAAGCUAUAUAAUUAAAAUAUAUCAAAUCCAUAUUGACAGUUAUAGAAAAGAAUAUGAAGAAUCCCAAUGACCAGUAGGAUGGUUAGGAUUUUUUACCAAAAAAAAGGAUUUUUUUUUUAUUCAGAAGAGCUAGUGCUUGACGCGCAUUAAAGCGCACUUUAGCAUAAAAACCCAGAUAGCGUAAGUUAGCGACCUGUUCCGAAUAGGGCGGUGUCUAUCCUUCUAUAAAUAGAGGUGCAUUGUCUAAGUUUUUUUCUCUAAGCCUCCUUUCUGAAGCUGAGAGGAGACGAAAGAAGCGAAAACCAGAUCUGUACUGAACAAGUGAAAUUGACUGAAGAAUGGAGUCUUAAAAUAGAAACUUACAUAUAGAUUAAUCAAAACCCUCUGUUAUCUAUCUUGUUCGAAAAAAAAACAAAAUAAUUAUUCUACUGUAUAAAUUUCUUCUGUAGAGGUGUAACCUAGGUUGCGCCACCAUGGAUUUGCGCUUCCCCUUCUAGCCGGCGGAGGUUGCCAAGGUCCGGACGGUCCAGUUCGGCAUUGUCAGCGCCGACGAAAUUGUAAUUUUCACUAAUCUUGAUUCAUUUUGUUGAAUUCUCUAGGGUUUAAAUUUGAUUUAGUUUUUGUUUCUUCGUUUCCAGAGAUAAAUGUCUGUGGUGCACAUUGAGCAUGGUGAGACUACGGAGUUGAGCGAUCCUCGACUUGGGACGAUUGAUCGGAAGAUGAAGUGUAAGACGUGUAUGGCGAACAUGGCUGAUGUCCGGGGCAUUUUGGUCACCUUGAGCUUGCGAAACCUAUGUUUCAUAUAGGUUUUAUGGAACCUGUUCUUAGUAUCCUUCGGUGUGUCUGCUUCAAUUGCUCCAAAAUUCUGGCGGAUGAGGUACUUUGAUUGACUUGAAUUGAAUUGUUAGGUUAAAAGUUUGUGUAUAGUGAAAUUGUCUUCUUCUUUUUUUUUUUUUGUUUAAGAAGGAUUGAAUUACUGAUCAUAUAUUUUUCACUACCUGGUUUGAUGUUUGUGAUAUCAAUUAAAUUAUAAGUGGGUAAACCAUUAACAUUUGGAGGUUUCAGGUUUGCCAGUGGAGGUCUAGAAACAAGUUUUGAACAAGUACAGGCUGAGGAAGUUUUGAUAGAGCAGUAUUUCUCUAUUACAUCAACAUGACCCUUUUUAGGAGAUAGCUUCUAUUUACUUACUAGUUAAUCAGGAUUUGGUAGUUCAGUGAAUUGUAUUUUUCUGGAAUGUUGCAAAUUUCGUCAUGCCUUUUUAUUUUUCUUCCUGUUAGAAGGGAGAAAUGAUAAAAUACUCUAAUUGCAUACCAGUGUGAAUAGAUGGAAGAUUCAUUUUAAAAGAAGGAACAUAAAGAACUCUAUGAAUGAUCAAAUUAGGGAAAAGAGUAGCAACACUUCCUAUAUGAGUAGCUUUUACCUUCGAAGAAUCAUGAAAAAGGAGUAAGGUAAGUGAAAAGCUCAGGAUUAGAAGAUAAAUGUUCUGAAGCUCCCGAGUCUAAUAUCCAUUCACUAGACUUGAUUGAAAUAAAGAGUAGUCAAACUCACUCCAUUUUGAUUGUUUAUUCAACGGUGAGAAUCGGAUUAUAAUUUAUGUAUAGAGGUGAUUCUAAAAUUAGACAACACUUAAUGGUCUUGCUACAUUUCCUUACGGUUUCACGGUUUCACUGAUGAAUGAAGGGGAAAAAAAACUUGGUCUAAUCUUGACGUCUCAUAAGGAAGGAAGUGGUCGUUUCUCUAUGCAUUAUUUCUGAUCCUGGAAUUCAGACCCCAUAUGAGACCGGCGUCGUUGACCUCUCAGAAGUCGCAAACAAGCCUACUUACGUCAUUCUUACUUUACAUAGGUUAAUUUGUAACGAUUCAAAAAAAAAGAAGAGAAUUAUGUAAAUAAGAAUAAAUAGGUAUUUAAGGGCAUAAUUGUCCUUUCACGUUUUAAAUGAAUAAAUAAAUAAAUAAAUAAAACAGAUUUGUAUUUAUUUAUUUUAAUGUUAUUUGACUAAUUCUUGAAUUAGUCUCCUAAUCCAAUUAGCCCUCUCUCUCUCACGCUUCUAAACUCCCCCUCUCACGUUCUCUAUCUUCCUCACAUUAUUUCUGCCAAAAUAUCAAUAAUUUUCAUGCUUGAAGAACUCACAAAAAAAUUUUUAAGCAAAAGAAAAAGUAAUCAAAACGUCAAGGCUAAGAGAGGUUUGGUGAGUGAGGUGUACGUUGAAGUGAAUUGGGAGUGGUUUGGAGGAGUUUUCCGGGCAGCAACAUUUAAAGUUUGAACAUCGAUUAAGGUAUGAGUUUUCUUCUCUCUUGGAUCCUUUCCCAAGAGGUUCCUUACGAUUCAAACUAUUCAUCUCAAAACUAAGGUUGUUCCCCCGUUGCAUGUCCCUGUCACUAGCUCCCUAUGAUCUUAGGUUGGGUAUUCUUGUUGAUAGAAUUUAGGGAUACUUGUUUGUGGUGAUAAUCUCGUUUCGAAUAUGUGUUCAUGAUGAUGUGAUUAUAUUUUAUGUUUUUCGGAAAAUAUGAAUGUAUUUGUGCAAGAUUUUGAUCAUGACUUUGAGUUUUUCUUUAGCAUGUUAAUAGAUUUGAGAUUACUCGUGUUUUAUGUGCAAUUAGAGGCUCUUAAAAUCGUAAUAUUCGUAAUAUUCACAUGGUUGAAAGGCUGUAAAUUCUAGUCACAAUAAAUGAUCAAAUCAUCCCCCUAAAUUUGUCUUAAGAACAUUAAUGAAUGUAUAAGAAAAAUGCUAAAUUAACCCGUAAAAAAGAUGUGAAAAAUUAUGGAGUAGUGUCCCAGAAUCUGGAAAUAAGUUUUAGACACAUUCUGGAAAAUUUGAGCAAAAAAUGAAUUAAAAAAAAAUAGGUGAGGUCUUCAGGGAUCGAACCCGAGACCUCACCAACACAUGCCUUGAUAAAAUAAUUAAAAAGGAGUGUUGAAGACGGGGCUCGAAAUGGGGGCUGGGACCAGCGAAAUUCGCCAAGAAAAGAAAUAAAAAGGGGGCUGGGGGGAAUCGAACUCGCGACCCCCAGCCACGCGCGAAAAAAAAAAGGGGGAUUAAAGAGGGAAUGCUGGGGGCGGGGAUCGAACCCGCGACCCCCAGCUAUGCGCGGAACGAAUUAAAAGGGAGAAAAGGAACGCGAGGCGUGGGAAUCGAUCCCACGACCUCAGCGCUGAAGGGAGGGCGCAAAUAAUAGCGUGAGGCUGUGGGGAUUCGAUCCCAUGACCUCACUGCCACUCCCCUAUUAAAUAAAAAAAAAUAGAGGGGCUGUGGGGGUUCGAACCCACCACCUCACAGCCUUCUCUUCAGCGAAAAUGAGAGGAAAAAUAAGGGGCUGUGGGGGUUCGAACCCACAACCUCCCUAUUCAAGCGAAUUUAAUUAAAAAUAAUAAUAAUAGUAAAUUAAAAUUCUAAUUAAAGUUGGAAAAUUAAUUCUCUUAUGUAAACAUUGAGAUUUAAUUUAGAAUUUUAAUUAAAAAUAGAACAUUAAUUCUUUUAUGUAAAUAUUGAGAUUUAAAUUGGAAUUCUAAUUAAAUUAGAAAAUUAUUCUUUCAUGUAAAUGAUUGAAAUUUAAUUUAGAAUUCUAAUUAAAAUAGAAAAUUUAUUAUUUCACGAAAAUGUUGAGACUUAACUUAGAGUUCUAAAUUUAUGAAUAUUAGAACUAAAAUCAAUGAAAAAUAUAAAUGAUAUCCAAAUAAUUCAAAAUUUGGGUUCUCGUGUCCAAACCUCCGUAUUGAUACAUAAGUCAUACGUGAGUGAAAUAUUCAAGAAUAAUGUCAUCUACUUAGAUCAAAAAUCAAAGAUCUUGGCAUAUAUACAAGAUACAUAAGUCUUGUAAUACAUAAUCUUAGAAAAACAAGAAUUCACUUAACGAACUAUAAAUGAAGUCUCAUGGCUUGUAUGUAUAGAUAUAUAAGUUUAACAUACGUUCAAGAAUAAGUGAACCUAAGAUAUACGUAAUGAAAUGAAGAAUGUGGUGACAAUCAUGAUGUGAGGUUAAUGCAUAUGAUGAGAGCAAUCUUAAAUGAGCUUAAGUAAAUGUUACCGAUACAUACUCACCAAUGAGAGUGUAAGAUAAUGAAGAGACCAGUCUCUAUGAAUACUCUAAUAAAAAUAUUGAGUUUAAAACACUUAAUACUAAUGAUGAGAUGAGAAAUCAUUUAUUGAGCUAUGAUGUCUUCAUACUAGAAGCAAACUUCUAUGAUGUAUGAGUUGCAUGUAAUGGAACUUUAUACCGAGCACCGAUAGGCUAGCUAUGAGUGGUGAUGCCUUCUUUCGGGAAGGGCGGAGGUUCACGUAAUUCUCAUGAGAUGAGACUGUCCGGCUUGCCGGGUAUGGGUCUCCAUACAUCUCCUAGUCUUUGAACCUAUAUUGCCACUAUAGGGAUCUGGCGGGGUUAAAUUCCCAUAUACGCUAGCAUGUUAUUGAAUCGCUUUGGCCGGUGAUUCCACCUCUUUUCGGUGUGGGGAAGACACUGGAUUUCAUGAUGCUCACAUGAUCUAUGUCGGUUAAAGUUAAAGUUCCCAAUGAAUGAAUGAGGCCAGCCUCAAAUGAAUCAUAUAAAGAAAUGAAUGAUACCGAAGGUGUUAGGAUAGGAUAAUCAAGAGGUGAGCUAGAUUCAGGUAAUGACAUUAGGUCAUUCCUGAUCAUUGCACAGCAAACCCGAUGAGAGUCUUAAACUACAUCCUAGGUAUAGCUGGUGUUCGCACUGGCCUAUGAAUGAAUUGAAAUGAAAUACGAAUGAAUGAGUGAAGCAGACUCUGUGUUUGCUAAAGAAGGCUCCCUAGUUGAGGUCCCAUAUGUUGAGCCCUCAUUUUGGAAAGUCUUAAAGUUAAGUCUAUGAUAAUAAGGUCUCAUGAUAUACGAAUGAAUAAUAUGAACGAAAGUAUGUGUUAUAUGUUAUGUGUUAUAUGAAUAUGUUAUGUUUUGUGUGCUAUACGAUAAUUAUAAUGAUGCAUGUCACUCUCAUGGCAUAACUUUCCCAAUCUUAAUUUGGCAAGUCCACUGACUUGACUUCCAAAAAUCAUGUUGUUAGGAAAGAGCUAUUCUUCCUCAUGCAUGUCCCUGGUGUGUACUUGCAUAUACUCAUACUUAGUACAAGUGUGUACUAAUUCCAUACGAACAUCUACUUUUAGGUGCAGGCACAGGUGGACGCUAGAGCUACAUGUUCGUUGUUGCAGCUAUCCGGACAUCAGUAUUCAUCCGGAGUUUGGUAGGUCCUCAUGCUUUCGAGGAUGCUACUGUUUUACAUUCUAGCGUAGUUUUAGAGUUGAGCUAGCGGAGCAUGUUCCACUAGCGUUUCUUUCCUGUUUUGGUUCAAACUUUGUAUUGGUGCUAUUUUGGCCGAUAUACAAUUAAUACUUAAUGAAUUAUUUCUUUCAGUUGCUUAUCUCUUAAAUGUUAGAUGGUUGAUGAUGAACGAUUACGAAAUGUUAAGAAUGUUCAGCAAGUAUGAUUAAAGAAUCAAAAAUUUCAAAUUUUCCGCUAAAAUUAAUCUAUGUAAAGUAAGAAUGACGUAAGCAGGCUUGUCUGCGACCUCUGAGAGGUCAACGACGCCGGUCUCGUCUGGGGUCUAGAUUCCGGUCGUGACAUAAUUUUAGCGAAAAAUUUGAAACUUUUUGUUUCUUAACAUGCUUACUAGACAUUUUUUAGUAUUUCGUAAUCGUUCAUCAUAAACCAUCUAACAUUUAAUUUUUUUACUGAAAGAAAUAAUUCAUUAAAUAUUAAUUGUAUAUCGGCCAAAAUAGCACCAAUACAAAGUUUGAACCAAAACAGGAAGGAAACGCUAGUGGAACAUGCUCCACUAGCUCAACUCUAAAACUACGCUAGAAUGUAAAACAGUAACAUCCUCGAAAGCAUGAGGACCUACCAAACUCUGGAUGAAUGUUGACAUCCGGAUAGCUACAACAACGAACCUGUAGCUCUACCGUCCACCUGUGCCUGCACCUAAAAGUAGAUGUUUGUAUGGAAUUAGUACACACUUGUACUAAGUAUGGGUAUAUGCAAGCACACACCAGGGACACGCAUGAGAAAGAAUAGCUCUUUCCUAAUGACAUGAUUUUUGGAAGUCAAGUUAGUGGACUUGCCAAAUUGAGAUUGGGAAAGUUAUGCCACGAGAGUGAAAUGGAUCAUUAUAAUUAUCAUAUGGCACACAACACAUAAUAUCUUCAUAUAACACAUAACUUCUUUCAUAUUAUUCAUUCAUAUGUCAUGAGACCUUGUUAUCAUGGACUUGACCUUAAGACUUUCCAAAAUGAGGGCUCAACAUAUGGGACCUCAACUAGGGAGUCUUCUUUAGCAAACAUAGAGUCUGCUUCAUACAUUCAUACGUACCUCAUUUCAGUUCAUUCAUAGGCCAGUGUGAACACCAGCUAUACCUAAGAUGUAGUUUAAGACUUUCAUCGGGUUUGUUGUGUAAUGAUCAGGAAUAACCUAAUGUCAUUACCUGAAUCUAGCUCACCUCUUGAUUAUCCUAUCCUAGCACCUUCGGUAUCAUUCAUUUCUUUAUAUGACUCAUUUAAGGUUGACCUCAAUAAUUCAUUGGAAACUUUAACUUUAACCGACAUAGAUCAUGUGAGCAUCAUAAAAUUCAGUGUCUCCCCCACACCGAAAAGAGGUGGAAUCACCGGCCAAAGUGACUCAAUAACAUGCUAGCGUAUAUGGGAAUUUAACCUCGCCAGAUCCCUAUAGUGGCAGUAUAGGUUCAAAGACUAGGAGAUAUAUGGAGACCCAUACUCGGCAAGUCGGAUAGUCUUAUCUCAUGAGAGUUACGUAAACCUCCGCCCUUCCCGAAAGAAGGCAUCACCGCUCAUAGCUAGCCUAUCGGUGCUCAGUAUAAAGUUCCAUUACAUUCAACUCAUACAUCAUGGAAGUUGACUUCUAGUAUGAGGACAUCAUAGCUCAUUAGAUGAUUUCUCAUCUCAUCAGUAGUAUUAAGUGUUUUAAACUCAAUAUUUUCAUUAGAGUGUUCAUAGAGACUGGUCUCUUCAUAAUCUUACACUCUUAUUGGUGAGUACGUAUUGGUAACAUUUACUUAGACCUAUUUGAGAUUUCUUUCAUCAUAUACAUUAGCCUCACAUCAUGAUUGUUACCACAUUCUUCAUUGUUAGCACCUUUGUUUUUCAUAGUUACUCACCUCUUAUUACGUGAAUGUUUAUUUCUUCAUUUCAUAGUUCAUUUUAUCAUAUGCCAAUGCACUUGGCCAUUUAGUGUAUCUUACAAUCGUACUUAACCCUCCUAAGAUUCAUCAUUUCAUUACGUACAUCUUAGGUUCACUUAUUUUUGAACGUAUGUUAGACUUAUGUGUCUAUACAUACAAGUCAUGGGGCUUCAUUCAUAGUUCGCUAAGUGAUUCUUACUUUCCUAAGAUUAUGUAUUACAAGACUUAUGUAUCUUGUAUAUAUGUCAAGAUCUUGAUUUUUGAUCUAAGUAGAUGACAUUAUUUUUGAAUAUUUUACUCACGUAUGACUUAUGUAUCAAUAUGGAGUUUUGGGCACGGGAACUCAAAUCUUGAAUCACUUGGAUAUCAUUAUAUUUUUCAUUGAUUUUAUUUCUAAUAUUCAUAACAUUAGAACUCUAAAUUAAAGCUCAUCAUUUUCAUGAAAUAAUUAAUUUUCUAUUUUAAUUAGAAUUCUAAAUUAAAUCUCAACAUUUACAUGAAGGAAUUAAUUUUCUAUUUUAAUUAGAAUUCUAAAUUAAAUCCCAACAUUUACAUGAAAGAAUUAAUUUUCUAUUUUAAUUGGAAUUCUAAAUUAAAUCUCAAUAUUUACAUGAAAGAAUGAAUUUUCAAUUUUAAUUAGAAUUCUAAUUUAAAUCUAAAUAUCUACAUGAAGGGAUACAUUUCUGUUUUAAUUUUACUAUUAGCUAACCAAAAGGUUGGGGGUCGAGCCCCAACAACCCCUUUUGAGUUUUUAGAAUUAAAUUUGCUACAAUAGGGAGGUUGUGGGUUCGAACCUCGUAGCCCCCCUUAUUUUCUUUAAAUUUUCGCUGAAGAGGAUGAGGCUGUGAGGUGGUGGUUUCGAACCCCCACAACCUCACUUUAUUUCCUUAAUAUUUUUGCCCCCCCCCCUUCAGUGCUGAGGUCGUGGGUUCGAUCCCCACGCCUCGCAUCUUUUUUCUUUUCUUUUUGCGAACUGUGGGGUCGUGGGUUCUAUCCCUGCCCCCAGCCCCCCCUUUUUUUCUUUUUUCCUUUUUUGCGAACUAGGGUGUCGUGGGUUCGAUCCCCGCCCCCAGCCCCUUCCUUUUUUCUUUUUCGUGAACUGGGGGUCGUGGGUUCAAUCCCCGCCUCCAACCCCUUUUUUUUUUCCUUUUUCGCGAACUGGGGGUUGUGGGUUUGAUCCCCGCCCCCAGCCCCUUCCUUUUUGUCUUUUUCGCGAUCUGGGGGUCGCGGGUUCGAUCCCCUCCCCCCCCCCCCCCCCCCCCCUUUUUUUUUCCUUUUUCGCGAACUGGGGGGUCGUGGGUUCGAUCCCCGCCCCCAGCCCAUUUUUUCAGUUUCUUUCACAGGUGAGGUCUUGGGUUCGAUUCCCAUUGACCUUAAUUUAUUUUGUUUUAAAAACUCAGAAUUUGACACUUUUGAAGGGUACGAAAAUCUGGAAUUUUUUGUCCUUAUCCAACCAUCUUUAGGUGCUUUUUUUUCAUAAGUUUAAGUAGCUAUAAGAUAGUUAUUCAAUUCACUAUACUUAAUCAUAAUGAACAUCACAUUGUACACCCAUUACACAUAAAAUACACAACUUAUACACCCCAAAACAGUGACUAAAACACUGCUUUUCCGGUCAUAUUUUGAUGAUCAUUAUCGUGAUUUCCCGCACAUAAACACAUUCGUAUUUAAUUUAAAUACAUCAUUCAUGCAAAAAUCUAGCAGCACAACAUACCCAUCCUACAAAUCUGUUAGGGAGCUAAGGACAAGGACAUACGAUUAGGAACAACCUUAGUUUCAAGAGUAUAAGAAACGUUCGAAAGAAAGUACUCUUGGAGAAAGAAUUCCAUGAGAGAAACCCAUACCUUUAUUGAUGUUCAAACAAAGAAUUUGCUGCCCAAAACUCUCUCCAAAAAUCAGUUCAAGUUACCUCAACGUCCACACCACUCAAUGAACAACUUCUCUUCGCCUUAAUGUUUUUGGUUGCUUUGUUUUUCUUAAAAUUUCAUGUGAGUUCUUCAAGUGUGAAGAACUCUUGAUGUUUUCUCUGGUUUUUGUUGUGCUUGGCAGAAUAACGUGAGAGACAUGGAGAACGUGAGAGAGAGAGUUAAGAAGCGUGAGAGAGAGAGAGCGCUAUUAGGAUUAGGAGACUAAAUUCAAGAUUUAGUCAAAAUAGGAUUUAACUAACUUAAUAAAAAUCUGAUUUAUUUUAAAUUAAUACGUGAAAGGACCAUUAUGCCCUUAAAAUUUCAGAUUUUCAAUUAAUAACUAAAUCACCUUAAGUACCUAUUUAUUCGACUUUUUUUGAAUCGUUACAGUUGCAAAUGUCGUCAUGCAUUUUUAUUUAUCCCCUGUUAGAAGGGAGAGAGAUGGGAUGUUUUUAUCUAAAGAGUAGUCAAACUCACUCCCUUUUGAUUGUUUAUUGAACAGUGAAAAUCGGAUUAUAAUUCAUGUAUAGAGUUGAUUCUAAAAUUAGACAGCACUUAAUGGUCUUACUACAAUUCCUUAUGGUCUCACUGAUGAAUCAAGAGGGAAAAACUUGGUCUAAUCUUGACGUCUCAUAAGGAAGGAAGUGGUCGUGUCUCUAUGCAUUAUUUCUGAUACUCAAUGCAGCUUUGGGUUGUAUAAUUGGAUCUUUGGGUCUUUCGAUUUUGUGCAGGACAAUCCCAAGUUCAAACAAGCCAUGAGAAUCAGGAAUCCUAAAAACAGGCUUAGAAAGAUGUUGGAUGCUUGCAAGAACAAAACAAAAUGUGAAGGAGGGGAUGAAGUUGAUGUACAAGGUCAAGAUACUGAAGAACCUGUCAAGAAGAGUAGAGGUGGCUGUGGUGCACAGCAGCCAAAAAUUUCAAUAGAUGGUAAGAAAAUGGUUGCUGAAUAUAAGAUGCAAAAGAAAAGAAGUGAUGAUCCUGAUCCGGAGCAGAUGCCAGAACCAGUCGAUAGGAAGCAACAACUCUCUGCUGAAAGGGGUAUGUGCCUGUUUACCUCGGGUGUUCUUAUUUGCUUGGGACGACCUCUCAUUGUGUGUAUAAUCAUGACCUCAUAUUGUAGGUGUUGAGCAUUCUGAAGCGGGUAAUUGACGAAGACUGCAUCUUGCUUGGCCUAAAUCCAGAGUUCGCUCACCCAGAUUGGAUGAUUCUUCAAGCACUUCCCGUACCACUACCACCUGUUCGGCCUUCUGUGAUGAUGGAUACUUCAUCAAGGAGUGAGGUAUUCAUUUUCCUGUUGAGGUUCUAGAGCUUAGUGUACUGUUGCUAAAACUUUUGCUUUAUCUCUGCUUUCUUCUGUUCUUUAAUUCUAGAAAAUUGUGCCAGUGGGAUUACCUUCUUCUGUUAAAUUUUUUUGUAGGAUGAUUUAACACAUCAACUGGCCAUGAUUAUUCGUCACAACGAGAAUUUGAAGAGGCAGGAAAGGAAUGGGGCACCGGCGCACAUUAUUUCGGAGUUUGCACAGUUACUGCAAUUUCAUAUAGCUACGUAUUUUGAUAAUGAUCUGCCUGGACAACCAAGAGUAUGCUGAUUCUCUCUUAAACAUCCUUUUCUUUAACUAUUGGAUCCUUUGAAACUUCAAAAGUUCUAAUUACUGGCUUUUACUUAUUCUAAUUUGCAGGCUACGCAAAGAUCAGGUAGAUCUGUUAAAUCAAUAUGUAGUAGAUUAAAAUCAAAGGAAGGUCGGAUCAGAGGCAAUCUGAUGGGCAAAAGAGUAGACUUUUCUGCUCGGACAGUGAUUACCCCCUAUCCAACUAUUAACAUUGAUCAAUUGGGAGUCCCAUGGAGUAUUGCUCUGAAGCGCACUUAUCCAGAAACAGUGACACCAUAUAACAUUGAAAGCUGUUUUUUUGUUGUUGUAGAAAUGAAACCCCACACUCAUCAACCCAUUAGAAACAAGAAGGAAGUAUGAACUGUAUAUGUUUGUGCUGAUUGAAGCUGGGUUCUUCACACAGGUUAAAGGAACUUGUUGAAUAUGGACCUCAUCCACCUCCUGGUAAAACCGGGGCCAAGUAUAUAACUAGGGACGACGACCAAAGGCUUGAUCUUCGAUACAAUCAUCACCUUGAACUAGGAUAUAAGGUUUGUUUCUUUCAGUUUCUCGUAAUUGAGGGGCUUUUGAUGUCUGCGGUAGCUCCCUAACCUCCAAUGCUGCCAAUGCAGGUUGAGAGGCACUUAAAUGAUGGAGAUUUUGUUCUCUUCAAUCGGCAACCCAGUCUACAUAAAAUGUCUAUUAUGGGACAUAGGAUUAAGAUCAUGCCAUACUCAACUUUCUGCUUGAAUUUAUCUUUCAUUUCUUUCUUACAAUGCUGAUUUUGAUGGUGACGAAAUGAACAUGCAUGUUCCACAGUCAUUUGAAACCAGAGCAGAGGUGCUGGAGCUUAUGAUGGUCCCUAAGUGUAUUGUUUCACCCCAGGCAAACUGUAAUUGGUAUCGUCCAGGAUACCCUUUUAGGUUGCCGCGAAGUUAUUAAAAGAGAUAUCUUUAUAGAAAAGGUGAAUCUGCAUGUGCCAUUUCAUAAUUUCUUUAUCAUAUCUUUCAUGAUUUUGCAUGAUCCAGUAAAGAAUGCUUACUUCCGGUUUGCAGGAUGUCUUUAUGAACAUCUUAAUGUGGUGGGAGGAUUUUGAUGGGAAAGUACCCGCUCCAGUGAUUCUUAAACCAAGGCCACAUUGGACUGGAAAGCAAGUGUUUAACCUCAUCAUACCAAAACAAAUAAAUCUUUUAAGAUAUUCUGCAUGGCAUAAUGAUUCAGAAAAAGGAUACAUAACUCCUGGAAAUACUCAAGUUAGAAUAGAGAAAGGGGAGUUGCUAUCUGGUACUCUUUGCAAAAAGACUCUUGGGACGUCUGCUUCAUGUUAUAUGGUAUACAUUUUUCAGAAUUUUGUAAUUCUAUCCCCCCGCGCAGGUCUUGAAUGCAUGCACUCAGGGAUGGCUUUAUGUCGAACCCUAAACACUUUUCUGGAAAAUAUCCGUCUUGUUGCACACUGUGUGGGGCUUUCUAUCCUCCUGUUUAUCUGCGGAUGCUGUCAUUAGUUGUAUGUGAGGCGGAUGAGAUGAUAGCUGCAAAACUUAGGCUUUAUAAUUAUGUUACCCUAAGCAGAGUCAUUGUCAUUAUUCCCGUAGUUAACUUUGCCUCUGCAAACAGGAGGAGGUUGGGCCUGAUGCUGCUCAAAUAGAGAAAAUUAGCCUCAAGUAUGCUAUAAAAGCACUAGAAAUGCCAUUGUGUCUUUUUAUUUAAUUAAUGUGCAAUCCUUCUCCAGUAAAUAGAGUAGUAAUUAAGCAAUAGGAGUGAGUGUUCAUUUUAUUGUCAGUCUUCUGUCAAAAUUAUUACAAUUAGUUAGGACAACACCUUAGCUUUCGAUACCUCUCUAACCCAUAUGAAUAGACAGAUCUGUAUGCUUGCCUUGAUAUUUUGUCAAUUAUAAAUAAUAAUUACUAUGCCUCAAUCAAAAGGUGUUAGUUAUCUAUCUAAUUAUUUGUUUGAUGUUGUCUUGGUGAGUCGUUUGUUCUCUGAGUCAUCCUGGCUAAUAAGUACCAAAGUAUUUUUUGAUCAGAACUAUUAAAUUUCUCACAUAAGAUCUUCUCAUAUUUGGUUUCUCCACUUGUGGAUAAAAGCUGAAGCAACUCUAUUGCCAAGAGGAUUUAAUUUAUCUCUAAUUUUAGUUUUUUGUAAAGUUUGUUGGAGAUGAAGAGAUUUUUAUUCCUGUAGUUUUUUCAGAUGAUUUUGUUCAUUUAUAAAAGCUCUACACUCACUUAGAAAUGUUUCAAGCAUCUUUUAUCAGAGAUAUGAGGAAAUCAUGGUACCCUAGAAGUUUUUAUUUCGGGUCUUUGUAUCUUGCAUACAUGUACAUAAUUGAGCUUCGCAAUGAAAGACAUCACUAGGUGUUUCUAAUCCAACAAAUACUUAUAGAUUUGUCUUUACUGUCUGAGGGGUUGAUAUCUCUCUCACUGUCUCCUAUUUGUGAUGGUCCACUGAACUGUAGUUUUAAUAUCAAUGACGAGUAAAAGACAAGUCUUUAUAUAUACAGAUGGAGACUGAAAUAGUACAAAACGUCACGUACUCACCCCCGUCUCCAGACCAGAAUGCUCCAAACUCGAUCAACGCUGGCUACUGGUGCUCAGACCUGUAUCAUGAAAAUAGAUGCAGAGCGUAGCAUGAGUACCAAAUAACAAGUACCCAGUAGGCAUCAUAGGCCGAUUGAACUAGAAAAGUAAAGCAAUAUGAAAAGACGAAAUCACAUAACUAGCGGUCAAGAACGGAAGGCUAAGUAACACUAGAAUGAACACGAGUGUAAAAAGAUCUAACUAAAUUAACAUAAAUAAGCUAACUACACCUAACUGGACCCCCCAUAAGCCCAGAAGGCACACUCUUGCGCAAGUUUAAAUAAAAACCUGAAUGGACCCCCAUAAGCCCGACGAGUACACAGAAUAACUAUAACUAAGGAGAAUAAAACUCAAGGCCAAAGAACAUCGAACCAAAUGCUCCAAACCAAAUAGUAGAAUCUGGCGGUACGGAGGUCGGGCCUUAAAUCGAACGCUCACCAGAAUUACACAAGUAGCCAACCACAAAAUAUAAGUAACUGAGGUCGGACCUCUAACCGGAUGCUCUACAUACUUGAAGUCGGACCUCUAAUUCUACAUAAGUAUGUGGAUGGUCGAGGCCGGACAUUAAAUUGGGAUACCCGACAAAGAUGUCGAUAUAGCUGCUGAAAGAGUCUUCUAUCUAUCCAUAGUCAUAAAUACCCGUGGAACACUAUCCACACUUAGCUAAUCAAUGUAAAUCCUUGAACCCGAAUUGAAAAUUAACUUUGAAUUGCGGAGCGAAAUUCAUUGUCGCCGACGUAACUCGUGAAGCCGUAACAUCGAAGAAAUAAUGAUAACUAUCGUCGGAGCGAGCUCAUCAGACUCAAGUCUGCUACACCAGUCUACAAGGAUUUGAUCCAGCCGAACCACGUCGGGGCUAAACUAAGUCCUACCGACUUCGAAUCAUGCAUUUCUAAGGCAAACCAUUGUCAAACCUAAACUAAGGCCCAACAUACUUCUGAUAACCAGUAUUCAAACAUACAAGUACUCCAUAUAGCAAAGAAGGUCAAUUAACAACAAUAAACAUACUCACAGUUAUCCGACAAUUCUCAGAAAAAGGCCGAAAAUAUAAACACCUAUGCAUGAUCCAAUAACUACCCCAAAUCCCAACUAAUCAACAUGUGGAAGGGUCAUUUUAGGCUAAUAGCAUUGUCAGCAUGGCUCCCGAAGUUUUCAGUGUGAGUUGGUGCAAUUAGGCGUUUUAACUUUAAGUUUAAGGCUAAGUUUGACUUUAAUCAACAUUCUGAGUAAACGCACUCAGAUGAGAAUUUCGUCAGCGCGGCUAGUUUCGAAAUGUCGAGUUUGGUCUAAUUUGACCCUUCUUUCGUGUCCUGAGGUUUUCGAUAUUUUUCCGAGUCUUUUUGUGAUUUUUGACUUAAAAUGGCAAUGUAAGAGGGACCCACAUUUUUCUGAGCCCUUUUGUGAUUUCUGAUGUAAUCUUCAUUUAAGGGCUCACAAAAUAACCAAAUGAACGACCAGGCGACCGAUUUAUCAGUCCCAACAAGUCAUAAAUGACAUGGAAUCCCUAUCCUGAGCCGGUGUCGCGGCCCUACCUCAACCUCGAGGUCAGCCUCUACCCCAAGAUGGGGCUCUUGGUGCAUCACCGGCGGUCGCAUCACCUCGCGUGCGAGGCAUCCUCCAAUAGACUCGAUAUCACAUCCACCAAGAAAUAUGGUUCUCAGAUCACCCACCCAGCCAGGGUAUGAUUUUUGAUUUGCUAAUCAUUAUUCACUGAUAGAGGACAAGCACUAUAUAUACUCGAUGAAAUUAAAAACCAGUCUUACGAUUCUUCUACUUCAUUUUAUUUUCUUGAUCAGACCACAACACAAUACUCCUCAUAAAAGUAUAUAUAUUCAUCUUCCAGAAGAAAGAUAACAACAUUCCAGGAUUUUUCAGAUAGGAAAUCAUCAUUGCUUUCAAAGUUGAUGACCUUUGUACUAUUACUAUAUAACAACAACAAGAAGAAAAAAGUGCUUGCUAGUUGCUAACCUCCAUCUAAUCGUAUAUACAGAGCAAAAAAAUUGCAUCAGAUGGAGGAAGAAAAAAGAAAGCCAUGAGGUUCCUACACAUCUAACUAUGAACCGAAAAGACUGCAAAAGGCUUCCAAUUAUCUUAUGAGAUGCAUCUCAUGGAGUACAUUGUAACAGGUGAGUCUACGGCAGGCGCAUCGCCAUAGACCCUGGCAUGAUCACUCUCCAGGCCAUAGUCCAUCAUCGGACGGUACUCAAGAUCUUCAUCAUGAUCGUACACAAAUUCUGGCAUCCCAAUCUCAUUCCUCCUCACAUGCUCCCACAGAUUAUCAACCCUGCUCACAUACCUCAAUUUCCCAUAUAACCUGUGCACAGUAACUCCCAGUUAGAUCUCUUCCUUGUCAAUACACAGAUAAUAUAUUAUAGAAAGAUAUACUAUUUGUUUGAAAAUUGGAUCCAGGUUUCCAAAAAAAAUGUAAUGUGUCUUAGGAAUUGACAUUCUUACCCUCCGCUGAAGAUGAAGCGACCAAAUGUGGCAAGGAAGAGCCUGGCUUGAAGACCAGGGUGAAGAAAGUAAAUAGCCUCCAGAUUCUCUCGGACUUUCACCGGAAUCGCAUCGUAGAACGAUCGUAAAGCUGAUACUCCGGGGAAAUUCUCGCUUUUCUCCACAUCGGUGUGAACAUACACCACGGCGAACGGCCUUUUCUCAAGUUCCGGAAAGAUCUUCUCCGCUAAAUACUUGUUCACAACUUCAACACUCAGAUUUCUAGCUGAUUAUCCACAAUCAAAAACAAAUCCACAAUUCAGACCAAAAUCUCAACAAGAAUAAUCAAGAAAACGAUACAUAAAAAAAAAAUAGGUUACCAGGAAAGAAUUUUCCGAUGAUGCGCAAAAUUUUGCGGCCACGUUUAUCUCUGCCUUGGAUCUUGAAUAUUUCGAGUUUCUCUAUAUGCUGUUGUUGUUCAACUUCUGUAAACAUGGUUUUUUGAAUCUCGAUUGUUGCAAAAGCAAAACGCUACGUUUGUUGUGGGAUGAGAUAUGAGAAAGAAGGGCGGAGAGGAUUUAUAUAGUGAAUGAGGAAAGGAGAAGAUGGGCGGUGUGAUGAAAGAGUAAUGUUAUCCAUUUAGGGAGGAGGAGAGGAAUAUUAGGGGAAUAUUCGUAAGGAUCUUCCGUUUUGUAGGUGGGACCGAAUUUUUUUCCUUGUGUUUAUCAUUGAGACACUCCCCGUGAUCCACUGGAUCACUCGUGGGACCCGUUCUUCCGGAUUUUGGAUCAAUUAUUAGCCCUUUCUUUUUUUUUUCUUUUCUUUAUUCCCUACUAUUAUUACAGUCCAUUAUUUCUCGACUAGAGGGUAGUAUUAUUAAUGUAUAAUCAUAUGAUCUAUCAUUAAUUAGAUGACACAAUUCUAGUUUAUCGAAAAAAUUAUUGUUUUAGUUAACAGUAAUUAAGUUUAGGAAAAGUCCUUUAGUCAGAAUUGUCUUUUACCUAUAUUAUUUUGCCAUUUUUUAAAUUUGUUAUCUUUUUCAUUUUAAUAUUUUUUAAUUAAAAAAUAAAAAAUAUUAAUUUACUUCAAAAUUUAAAAAAAAAACAACUAUAAAUUCUUAAAAUUUCUGAUCAUUUAUUAUUAUUUGUAAGUUUAUUUCUUAUUAAUUAUACACCAAACACCAAACUAUAAAUUGUUAAAGAUAAAAGAGGCUAGUAGACUGACUUUUGUGAUUUUCUUAUGCCAGUUUUAUCUUCUUAAAAGACUUCUUCUUGAAAUAUUAUUAGUUCGUGGAGGUAUUAUUUAAUUAAUAAUUAAUGUUUUUUUUAGUUUAAAGAGUAUUUUGAAAUUUAAUGAGAUUUAUUUGAUUACAUUAAAAUUAUUUAAUUAUUGUAUUUUACUAAUUUAUGUAUCAUAUUUAUUGAAUUCACAUAAAAAAAUUAUUUUUAUAUAAAAUACAAUGAAUGUAUCAAAAAUAAAAAACAUUGUAUCUUACUAAAUUAUAUCUCGUAUAUUGAAUAAUUAUUAAAAAACAUUAUACACAUUACAAUGUGUAUGUAUGAUUCAUUAUAAUAUUUCUUUAGAUUAAAUGAUUCAUUGUAAAAUAAAUUCAAUGAUCCAUUAUGACAACUUUCACAUAUAGCAAACAAAAAAUUCAUAUUUGUAUAUUAUAGCAAAGUUUGCAUAAUUGCGCUCCAUAGCAAACAUAAAACUGUAUAAUUCGCUAUACAUAUACAAUUGUAUAAUUUGUUGGCCUAAAUUGUAUAAUUCGCUGGCCUAUUUUGCUGCAAUUGUAUAAUUCGCUAUCCUAUUUCACUGCAAUUGUAUAAUUCACUGCCUAUUUCGUUGCAAUAUUUUUAUAAAAUUUGCUUUGCAUACAAUUGAAUCGAAUUAAAAUAUAUGUAUAUUGCAUAAUUAUAAGUGUAUAACAAGAAGAUAUAUGUCUGUCUCUCGCUUUAUACAAAAACAGAAACACAAUAUAUACACUUUUGUUGUAUAAAGCUAGAGAAAAUUGUAUUUCACUGCAAUUGUAUAAUUCGCAAUUGUAUAAUUCGUUGACCUUUUUCUCUGCAAUAUUUGUAUAAAAUUUGCAUUUGUCUACAAUUGAAUUGAAGUAAAAUGUUUGUAAAUUGUAUAAUUAAGUGUAUAACGCGAAGAUAUAUGUUUUUGUAUGUGUAUAUAUAAUUUUCUCUCGCUUUAUACAAAACAGAAACAAAAAUUAUACACUUCUGUGUAUAAAGCGAGAGAUGCAAGAAUGAGAGAGUGGCGAACGAGACUUUUGGUAGAGAGGCGCCUGGCAAAUUUUGGCUAACGUUUGCUAUGGAGCACAAUUAAACAAAUAUUGGCUAACGCUUGCUAUGGAGCACAAUUAAAUCAAACCCUAGCUACUCUAUUUACUUUAGGUUAUUAGUUUGCUAUUAUAUACAAUUGUCCCUAAAAUAAAUUCAUUAUACAUAAUAUUAUUUGCUUCUUAAUAAUCAAAUAUUAUUCAUUAUAUCUUCACUAAAAAAAUUCUAUGUAAAAUAAUGAGAUAAUAAAUUAUAUAAGUAAUAUAGAAAUUUCUUGAAACCAUAUAAAAAAUGACUUCUCAUUUAAAAUUGGGAAUUGAUUGUUGAUCCCUCGAGAAUCAUUAUGUUGGACUAUAAAAUACCUAGAGAGAGAAGGUUCUCGUAAGUUUCUCAGUUAUGAAAUAUUCCCUCGAAUUCAUAUUAAUUGAAUUUGUAAAAGAAUGCAUACUUAUUAACAAAAGCAAUCAAGGAUAUAAUUUAAAGGGAUGAAAGUAUAUAAACUUUGACUGACAUUGUUAUAAUAAUAUCAAAUUUUCAAAAGGAUCUUUUGCAGUAUUUAAUAGCGUGUUUUAAAGGUAUAUAUAUGUCCACGUACUGGACAUCAGAAAUAUUGCAUCAUUGUAAAUAGUAUGUGUCCACUUGAGCACGAUAUGCUUUUAAAAUACACUAUUAUAUAGUGCAUGGAAUAAAAGGUUCUCCAUAAAUUUUGAUAUCGUAACAACAAAUUCAAUUAAAAGUGGAGUAUUUUCAAACUCUUUUCCCUAAUUUAAGCCAUAAAAUUUCAAUAUUGCCCGUUGUGGAAUCAUAAUAUUAGUGUAGUUUAUCUUUUCUAAAAAAAUUAGUGUAGUUUUUCCUUUAGAAAAUAUAAAAUUGUAAUAAAUAAGAGGACAAAUAUGAAAAAAAUUCAAACAUCCAUCCUGAACUUUGAACAAUGUAAAAAACUUAAAGAGAUCAAUUAAUAUGGAAUAGAGGAAGUAACUUUACUCGAGUCUCCCGUUCAACUCAAAAUUCUCGAGCCGCCGUAAGCAUCUCUCUUUUAACCAUGUCUCGAACUCUGGUUCGCUCUUUUAUUAGGUUCGGUUAUUGCUCUCACACAAUUAUUACUCUCUCUAUUUAUUUUUAUUUAUUAAUGUUUGACUUAAUGUCCAUUAAUAAAAUAACUAUUAAUAUAAAUAUUUUAUUAAACUAUUCAUGUUAAAUAAUGUUUGUAUUAAGUCUUAUUUAAUACUAAGAAUAAAACACAAGAAAAAAUAAAUUAUCUUUUCUUAAUAUAUUAAAAUGACGAAUAAUAUUUUUUUUUAAAAAUAAAUAACAAAUAAAAAUAAUUUGAGAAAGCAAUUCUAUAUUUAAUCAUAUAGAGCAUCUGACUAAUCAUAGACCACUUGACUAAUUGGUGAAACAACUCUAAUGUUAAUAAUGAAAUAGUAUUAACGCACGCACUCAUAUAUUAUUAUAUCACAUAUAAAACAAGCAAUCUUAGAAUAGUAUUAGAAGAAGGCCUAUUAUUCAACUGAUAAGAAGAAUUAAUUUCUUGAAAUAAAGUAUGAUGUAUAAAUAAUCUUCACCAAUAAAAUUACGAAAGAAGGAUUGGCCACUGUCUCAAACGUAUGUGCUAAAUUUCUUUCUUUUUUUUUUUUAAUCAUUUGAUUGGCACAAUCUACGGUAUACUGCAAGAGUAAGUUUGUCUCUUCAUAACAAAUUCCAUUUAAUAAGAGAAAUUUUGUUGUUAAAUAAAACUAAUAAAAUAAUAAACACUUUUGUGUUCUUUGGAAGUAGUGGGUAUAAUAAUUAAGUAAAUGUUGCAUAAACUUUAUACGAGUGGUUUGUAAUUUGCCCAUAGUAUUGUACUAUAAAACAAUGAAAGAAAAUCACCCACCAUACUUCUCCUUGUUUUUUCCCCCCAUGAAUUAUCACAGUAAUCUAAAAGGCUAAUGUGUCAACCAAGAUCAUAAUCCAUGGGCUCAGUCAAUCAUUUGGUUUUCAUUUUAGGGUAAAAACGAACAUAUUAAAUCGAUUGUUAUUGAUUAAAAUAUUGUCUCAAGUUUAAUAAUGAUGAUUAUUGGUUUUCUUUUAAUGUGAGGAUUUAAUAUAGCUAAUAAUCAAUAAUUGAUUUUAGAUUUGAAGCAUAAUGUGUUUGAUAGUAGUAUAUAUAAAGGUACAUUAACAUCAUUAUAAGCAUAAAGUUUAUUCAUAUAGAGCCGGCUUCUUUAGAGAUAAUUAGUGAUGUUGCAAAUUGCAUUAGAGAAUGAUCCAUGCCGAUUGCCAAACAAGUUGAUUUUAUAUUCAAAUUAAGGCACUAGCAAGUUGAAUAAGCUAUUAUGUUUGAAUAAUUCAAGUCAAGAGAAGGAAAUUCAAUUAGAAGAAAGAAGUAAAAGACAGAAAAAUUAAAGCAUAAGACCGAAAAAGAAAUAUAUUAGCACUAAUUUCCCUACCUUUAGUACGUUGUUGACCACUUUUAUUGAAGAUAAUGAUUGUACAUUAUUAAUCUUGGUCCCUAAUUAACCUGCAUUUUCUAAUACGUUAUUCCAAUAGAUAAUAAUUAAACAAAGCCCAAAAGCACUGCACUACAACAUAAGAAAUGGAAAAUGAUGAAACAUCAAAUUAUCAUAUUGGAAUAUUUUCAACCAUAUAGAAUUAAUCAUAAUCAAAUUGGCAAAUACUGCUUUAGCACGAUUAUAUUUUAGAGCCCUCUUGUUAUAUCUUUAUUUCAUCAAAUGAGAAGUCAGAAUAAGUAGUCAAUUUUGGUUUAUAAAUACAAAAAAAAAAUUAAAAAAAAAUAUAUAUAUAUAUAACACAACUAGGUUACAAUAUUUUCAUGAUGCUCUCGUGUACGGGUUCCUUUCUUUGUCCAAGAUUGACAACUUUGAACGGAAGAUCUCUUAAUCAAAGGGGUAGAAGGUUCGCAACCCUUUUUUGGUCAAGUUUAUAGCAUAAAAUUUGUCGAUUUUUUUUUUACGGAAAAUUUCAUGCCAAAUGUAUUAAAUUAUUUUGUUAAAUAUAAUAUUUGAAUGUGCCAUAUAUAAUGUCACACUUGAACAAUUAGAAAAACGAAUUCACAAUAAAAUUAAAGUAGAAUGUAGAGUAAAAUUAUUACAAAAUUAUAGAGUGCAGAGUAAACUGAGCAAUAAAUAAGAUAAAAUGAGAGAGUAAAAAAAACAUCAUCUCAUCGAAUCAAAAUUUACAUAAAAUGAGAUUUUUACUUUACUUAAUAAGUUCACAAUACAAUAAAAUUUAAGCAGCAGUUAAAAUAAAAAUUAUAUUUUAACGGACAAUGUAAGUACAUAACAUAAUAUAGAUAAUAACUAUCAACCUUCCAAACAAUGCAAGAAUACUAUUCUAGAUUCAGAUGUAAAUUUGGAUCUAAUUAUAAUUCUUAUCUUUUAUAUUCAAGAUUACUUAACGUUUAGUCUGUGCUUUUCCUGUUUUAGUGCAAAUAGUCAGGAUGAGUUUCACUAACCUUUUCUAUUAACUUUGGUUUAGCUAAUAUGGCUUACUUAUGGUACCCACGAGUCGGUUAAUAAUGAUCUCCCACAUCGGACGGAUGAAGACAACGUUCCAGAAAGGAGGCAUAUAAUUACAGAUAGCAGAUUGUGGUGAAAGUUAUCUUUGCGCUUGGGGCAAUGACGCAGCUAGUGAGGUUCUAACCGAGGCGCGUCUAUUGCUGGUUGAAAACUAUUUCCAAACCCCCUCAUUGGCCUGGGCUCCGCCUUGGCCAUUGAGAAUUUUUGAAAGGGCUUCCCUUCUGGGAUAAGCCCUACAAUUCAAGUCUAAGUUUUUCAUUUUAAUCAAUCGUAUCAAAACGGUAAUCAUAUCUCUCAGUUCAAAGUAUAUCAGAAAAGUAGCUUUUUCGACGUAAUAUAGCAGCAUAUGAAGGUAAUGCCCGUAAACUAUUUGAAGGCGACACAAUUUAGAAAACACUCUAAGAGAAAAGGGCAAGAGGAAAUGAAAACAAAGGAGAAGAGGAACUGGACAUUGAAAGAAAAACGGAAUAAAUGGUAAAUGGAAGGAACAAUAAAACAGAUAUCUUUAUUAUAUACCCAAUCAUAUUGGCUUUAAAAUGAAUGAUAUUUAACCAAGUUUUGCAGAUGGAAAGGUUGUGAAAUCACUCCUCUAGGCUGGCUGGCUAACAAACUCUAGCAAAGGUGUGAAACUAAAAUGAGAGGUUAACUGAAUUAAACUUAUACCAAAUGCAACAAACAAAUUGUAAAUUGCUAUCAUUCCGUAUGCUCUAAAAGCAAAACGACCAAAACUUCAAAAUAACGAUCUCUUGCUACAUCUUUAGUGAAGGUAUUUUUAAGCAUGGAGCUAUGAAUAAGCCAAGUGCUUUGCCUGAUGAUGAAAGGCUCUACAAGUACCGAAUAUGGCUAAAUACACUACUAGCUCGAAAAUUCCUCCCCCAGUGAAUUAGGAGGUAUAUGAUCUGAUUCCUCAUCUCUGUUUGACUUGUUUCUUUGAAGAGGCACGAGAUGACUGUUGGAAGACGGGACUAUAUGUGUGUUGCUGAAUAAUAUUGAUAAGAACGAAAGUAUUUGCAGCCAAGAACAGCAAACCUGCCACCCAGAGUUGAAGAAAGACAUUCUUUCCUUUAAAUUCAAGCAAAUAACCCCACAAUAACCAGUGACCCUGAGCUGCCAUCCACAACAAGAUGCAGACCAGUCCUUUUCCUCCGAGCUUCAUGUUGGUCCAUGGCAGGAUUAGUGGCAAGAGACAGAAGAACCAAACAAAGUAUUGAGCAGUCAUAACCUGUCAGAGGAAAAGAACGUUAUCUUGCUAAAGGAAAAUCAAGCUAAUAUUCACUGAUUCUCAACAUAAAAAAUAAUCAAGCCUUGCCAACAAACCUUGUUAAAUGCGACAAAUGCCACAGUCUGCACAAAGAAGCAAAAUGGAAAAUCUUGUGCAAAGCGGAAAACAAGAACUAGCUGCACCAUAAUCUGAGGCAGAAACGAGACGAGCUUUUCCAAGAUAGAUAACUCAUGUUCAUAGUGCAGAUAUAUAUGGUAGAAAUAAAUUGAGAAAUUGUGCCUAGGGUCUGUACGUGUGAGAUGAUAGAGCAGUGCUUCAUGCAAGAAAUCGCAGCCAUAUAAAAAGAAGAAAAUCCCAGUAAGGAGAAAGAACAAAGCUCCAGAAAUAAGCCCAAACAUUAUCCUCCUCCAGGUAAAAAGGCUUGUUAAAAAGUUGCACAUACAACAAGGAUCCAUAAGCUUUUUACAGCUGGAAGUCUGCUGUGACUUACUUUUUCUAGAACUCCAAUUCACAAGAGCAGGUUUUGUACCAUACUGGAAGAACAAGGGAUCAAGAACUAAAAUGAUUGGAAGAGCAUAAAUUAUUGGAUAGAUCCUCAUGUGGACGACAAGCCCAUACCAAAAUGCAGCUUGUACUAAACGACCUGAUCAGGGAAACAUCACCAAAAUCAAUAGAGCGUCAAGAUUUAUAACUUCCAAAGAAAAAAUGAAACCACAGUUCCCAUUAACCCAAGUGGAAAUACAGUUAUCUGACCCAAAAUAUCGGAGGAUUCUUGGAAAAAUUCUCAAUUAAAAAGAGUUUAUUGUUUAACCCUAUAAAGUUCCAGAGUUAACAUUCUCGGUUUCUACUUUCCCUUUAAACUAAAGGUUCACUAUAACUUCAAAUUGCAUAAUAACUAUGAAAAGAAACAGAGGUAGAUUCAGGGCAAAUCUUGUUUCAUGCUUUAUUGAGAAAUCAAGUAAAAGAUGAAUAUUCAGCUUACAUUGAUUGGUUGCUAAAACCUCAUUCACUGUCCGAUAAUUUUGUGUUGGGCCUAUACACCUAACCCUGUGGAGGAGUGGGAGAAAGACUCAAUCUUGAUCGGUGUUCAAUGAGAAUACCUUCUUUUUUACAGUUUCAUCACUUAAAUCAUGAUUCCCCUAAAUACUUCCCCUUCCAUCUGCCCCCCUCUUUACAGUCAUUUACAUUACCCCCAAUAAUAUUGUAAGGUAGAUUAAGGAGACAGGAACCAUUUUGAAAGAGAUAAUAACAGAGAAAAUAGCAGUAGGGAAAUAAACUAUACAUUGAAAAAGAAAAAUUUAGGAGUAAGUUCUCAAUAUAACUAUAUUAAAUGUAAUUAGAAGGUACUGAAAGUUUUACCAUUCAUUAGACAUAGAAUAAUCCAAAGGAUUAUGGCACAGAUGAUGGGCUCACAAUUCCCACGAGUUCCAAUGGUAAAGGUAAAUGGAUUCAAAAGCCAUACCAUCACCGAAUAGGUGCAUAAUUUCUCAGGCACCCCUCUUAGCUUUAGAAUGGCGUUGAUAAGAAAUCCCACGAGAAGAUCUGCCGCACGAACUCAAUGUAAGUUUCAUUAAGCAUAUCUGUUUUGGAAACAUAAUUAAGAUGUCUUCUAAGAAUAUCAAUUAUGCAUUUUUUGCAAUAAGAAGAGACAAUAAACCCACAUACAAGAGUGCAAGUUCAGAAGCUAUUUGUCUACUCUUAGAUUGAUCAUCUACAAGUUCAUGCCCUAAUCAACAAUUCAUCCAGUCUUUAGUUAUACAUCCACAACAACCCCAAAGAUUGCCAAUGAAACCUAAGCAGAUAGAGAUGCAAAAAUCUCUUGGAAACCAUAUACAAGGAGCAUUUGUAUGAGGAAAAACAAGAAUUCCAAAUGAGUCAAUUAAAAAUGGAACCUUUGCGUUGUCUUGAAAUUAGAACCUAACAAGAGCUUAAUACAAAAGUAGGAUUUCAUGUAUCUGUCUGUUCUCACAAAUAAUAAACCCAAAUCAUACGAAAAUUGUGAAGCUCAGACUUCUUCAUCAUUCAACGGGAAUAAAAAGAACCCACAAAAUUGAAGGGACAAAGAAAGAAAAAAAGAAAAAGAGAAGAGAAAGGGAAAAUCUCACCUGAAGCGGAGAAGAUAAACUUUCCCCAAGAAGGAUGAACGAAAGAAUUGGGCACAAGAAGAAAAGCAAUCAAGGGAGAGUAACGAUAUGUAGAUCUUUGAUAAGGGGAUUUUCCGGCAGCAACUAAAGCAGCUGCAUCUGAGAAAACAAGAUAGUCCACAUCUGUGUAUCGAACCUCCAUAUGGGUAUCUUGCCAUUCUCCAUAGAUUAUCAAAAACACCCUAAGAAAGGCUGAGAAUAUCAGCAGCGACUUCAGAUUUACAGUCACCAUCAUUCAGGAACUGAUCGCUCAAUACCCAAAACAACAGAGGAAGGUCUUUUUAUUUAUUUUUUCUUUUAAAAAACAAAACAUUAUGACUUUCCACAAUUCUGUUUCAAUUAUUUCAAGAAUUAAAUUUCACUAAAUAUAAAAAAUUCAGAGUUUGGAUCUUGAAUAGAGUCAAACAUGGACCCUUUUUUAAAUAAAGCAAAGUUAAUUUUGAACUAAAUCAAUCUAGUAUUGAAUUUGGGGUUUUCAUGUUCAAAAGUAAACUUUUAUUAAAUAUUUAACUACAAUAUUAAACUCACCAUUCAAUUAAGCGCUCUAUUUUUGCUUUGACACGAUUAUUAAAAUUUCAAAAUAAGAAAUGAUUUGUAUUUUUUAAAAGAAGUUAAGUAUUUCAAUUGAUGUUCUUGAUCACAAAAUAAUGAAUAUUAGUAUUGAUAAGUUUAGAGAAAAAAUUCCAAGUCAGUUCCUCCUUAAUAUAAAAUAGAUUUUAGCUAAUAAUAUACAUUGUACACUAAGAUGAAGAAGUGUUGAAUAUUUUCAGAAGUCACCAUGUACUCUUUGAAAUUGACUCCUAGAGUAAAUUUCAUCCAAGGUUUCAAAAAACGGUCACCAGCUACCCAUAUUUUAAAAAACUACAAAUGCCAUCCAAGGUCCUAAUAGCUACCAAAAACAACAUCUCUAUCCCAUAAGGUUGUUGGGUACGAUUUGCUUACUCAUAUCACAUUCGACAUACAUCUCUACUCCUUCAAUCUGUGUCGUCUUCACUUUAGAAAACAUUUGUAAAUAGGAAAUUAACCAGGGAAAUUCAUUUCAAGAGUUGAUCAUUCACAUUAUGGGAUACAAUCACUCUUACAUACAAAAAGAAUAAUCAUGAGAUACUUUUUCAUCUUCAGAUUACACUUGCCAUUAGAUUGUCCUCACAAUGGGUUCAGAUUAGGGAAAAAGUUAUCGCCAAAGUUUGGCAUAGGAUAAAAAUAAGAGAAAUAGACUUUCAGGGGGAAAUUGGACAUGUACAACUUUAGAACAAAACAUUGUGGGUAAUAGGAUUUGCUUGAUAUAUUUACUCAGAAGAUGAUCCACUCGGAUCCUUCACUUUAUCAUACUACCUAUUCAGUUUUACUAACAUAAGAAGGUAAUUACAUUAUGAAACUAAGUAAAUACCAGAGGGCAGUUAUAAGAAUUCAUAAACUUAGAUAUCCUAAGAGUAUGUGACUGUUGAUCAACAGAGCUCAUUUAGCCUCAGUAAGUUCUUCUUUCAUAUCGAAACCAGACAGUGCAGCCAGCUCUGAAAGCUUCUUCUCUCCGCUAAGAACCUGCCAGAAUAUUAUAGUUAUAAGGUCCCUCACAGCAAGAUGUUCAUUUUCUUAUCGAACGUGUGAAUGACUGGUGCCUUUUGUAUAGGUUACAAAAUAUUUUUCUAGCAUGAAGAAGGUUCUUGCUCACCUCCCCAUUGAUAACCCAUGUAGGGAACCCUUCGAGUUUUGCUUCUUGACAUGCAUUGAUCAUAGAAAUUCCCCUCUUAAGUCCAUAAGGAAAGCAUUCUACAUAGUCUAGUAACUUUGCUGCUUCUCGUCCAAACAUCUUGUUGCAGUGACACAAGAAUAUACCAAUUUAGUACAGAAUACAAGCCAACUCUUACCUAUACUGCUAAGUGCAUAAUGCAAAUCAGAAUUUCUAGUGGGAUCUUUAAGGCCAUUUUUUAUAUUCUUAAUGUUUAGUUGCAAUAUUGACAAACAGUUGGGGUCAGAACUCUGAGUAUCUGCUUCUGACCUUUAAAGAUUAAUCCACAGAAGCUCUUAGCCAAAUUCCAGCACCAGUAUACGAAAGAAGGAAAUAUAAGGGUCUCUCUUUUUCCCUUUAAUGAUGCUCUUACUUAUUUUACGGAAGACGUUAAUAUUCAACCCAAUAGUAGUUGAUGCAUAUUCAUAUUCUUCCCUACCCAUAUCAUGUUUUGUCUUUUCCCUUAUAGAAUGUUACUUUAGGAAUGUAGCAAUCAGACAACGUGGCUGGAGUCCAAUCAACAUCCACGCUUCACCCUACCUACAUCAUGUCAGAUUUGAUAAUGGGGAAAGAUUUUACUUUCCCAUUUUCUAUGUAUGCAAGUAUUUCUUUCUCUGAAUCUUUUUUUUUGCCUAAUGAAAUGAUGUCACUAUGCCAUUGAGGCAACCAAAAAGGAAAUAAUUUUAGAAAAAACAUCAUUUUCAUAUGCAGUUUUUUUUUUUUUUUUGAGAAACCCAUCAAAAUGCAGUACUAAGAAAGCACAUUUGCAAAAGAAAGAGAACCUGCUUUUGUUCCUGGCAGUGAGAACACCAGAAAGCCCCAUACAUUUUUGCCCCAAUUGAAUGCAGGUGUUUCGCUAGGGAUAUAGCAAAAGGUGUAGACUCUGAUGUGAUCUCUGCUGUAAAGUAUUCCAUCUCAGCCAGAGCAGAACUGCAAAAGAUGGGAAAAGGAUUUUGAGUAAUUGUUCUCUUGAAUAACGUGCAUGAUCUUUUCACCAACUAUACAUUUCAGAUGAUCUAGAGUUUUACCUGUGACUAAAUGACUGCACAUCAAGAGCUUUUCUAUCUUAAAAUGACCAAGAUAUCUUGUUGCUGCUAAAUCUAGAAACUGAAACAAGCUUCUCUUACUUGCUUUAAGAUUCUAGCUUAAAUAAUUCAUGGAAAGUUUUUAUACAAGUUAAUGUGAUUAUCUCUUUAAUCAAUGCCAAUCAAACAUUCACUACUUAAUGCAAAAAAAGAAACUCUUGCCUAUUGUCCUUUCAAUCCAAAGACACUUUGCCUAAUAUCAUCCUACAAUGUGUAAAUGUGUACGGAUUGUUUACCCUGUGUUUGUAGGCUGAGAGUCACUGUAUGAAUUGUUUAGGGUAGAAACCACCAAGAGAACUAUAAGUAACUGUAUACCCACAUCUUUUUGCACCUCUUGAAAGCCCAAACCCUGUAUAUAAAAGAAAUAUCUUUGUCACUACCAUUGCAUAUAGCAAUAGAAGCUAAACAAACAAGUCUGUAGUAGAGAUAACCUUCAUACUGCUGAUGAACAAACUAAAUGACAAUAAGACAGAAGCUAAACAGUACGGACAAAAUUCCCCAGUGAACUUUGUGCUUAGGAUGUACAAGAAGUAUGCACUGGCAGCUGCCAUGGAAGUAGUUGUUCCAAGUAAAACCAAACGCCCAUUAGCUUCACCAGUUCCAAGAGGCCUGCUUUUCUGGCCCAAUUGUAUCCCAAGUAUUGCAACUACUCCAUAAGCAACCAUACCAAUUAAUGGAAGAGGAACACCUGGCAAAUGAAAAAGGAUGAAAACUGAAUCUUUUUCCAAACAUAUUACCUGCAAUUUAAGUGACAUACUGCCUUCAAUUUAAUGAUUUUCCAAUCUGUGUCUUUCAGAUCAAACAAUACAGCUUACAAUGUAACAAAAUUAGCACUGCAUUAGUUAUUAAGUCUGACAACAAAAUACACUACUAUAUAUUAUAAUGUGCUACCUCCUCUGUGAUAUGUAUGAUUACCAUCAAAAGGAGUUAUAACAUUUUGUUAGAAGAACAAAUCACCCCAGUGUUUUUUUUUUUGACACGAUAAAGGUCGAACAAUUCACCUGUGUGUUAUGCACACUAUGCACAUAAAGUAUAUGAGAGAUUUACGAGCAAUUAGAGCCCAAUCAGUACGAGGAUUAGGUGUUGCUACUUCCAGGAAUUGGUUUAUGUUGAGGCCUCACCACUAUGAGAUAAAAUGGGUGCAACUUACAGCAAUGUUUACUGUCAACAUCUUCUUGUCAAGUAUGUUGGACCAAUUGAUAUUGGUUUUUCUAAUUCUGGCUCCACACUGGAGUUUUGUAACCUCACUGCAAUCAAUGUGUGCCGGCUUAUUGUAACACUGAGAUAGGGAAAAGUCCUUUGAUUCAUCAAUGAGUACUGGAAUUGGAGUGGGUGGAAAUGACGGUGACCUUAUGGAGGCGAAUUGGGUACAGCACAGGUUUCUCAGUCCGAUUGCAUUUCUAGGCAUCCCAUUCAUUGAUAAUUCAAACUAUCUACCUUACAGAGUCUCAUUUGAAGACAACCGAAGAUCAUGUAACUUAAAAAAAGGCUAUUAUCAAACAUAUGCUGGUCUAAUUAACAAUAGAUUUCUUCAGCUAAUAACAUCUUGUGUUUAGUAAGGUUUCUUGAAACCAACUUCAUAUUAUGUCCUAAAUUAAUGUUUUAAACAAGCAUAACUUACUCUCUCCAUGUACAACAAUAACAACAUCUAUGUUUUCCUAGUUAGUUGGGUCAGCUAUAUGAACUGCAAAGUUAACAUGCUUUGGCUGGAGUAGUACUGGGAUGGGGUUAUCCCCGGGGAAACUCUGAUUGUGCGAGCUUGCUCUAUAGCUAAUUGCAGGCCCGGAUAAAGGAGGAAGGUUACGCUAGCUUGACAACCCAUAUAGAACUAAUUAAUUUACUACAAUUACUUGCAAUACAACAAAUUUACUAUCACCAUUUAAAAUUAGAAGCUUUACCAUUGUCAUCUUUGUAUGUUUCAUUACAAAGGAUAUGUUUUCAGAGAUAUUAUACUACAUAAAUAGAUGUAUUCCUCUAUUUAUUCUUCCAAACAAUAUUUUCUUACAAACAAAUAAAGCAAUCCUAUUGCAUUACAUGGUCUUCUAUACAACAACAUUACCUAAUGUAAUCCCAAGUGCGGUCUGGGGAGGGUGGCGUACCAUGUACAUCAGAUCUUUCUCCUACCUCAAGAAGGUAGAAUUAUGUGUUCUUUACUAAAAUCUUAAAAAGGGCUUCUUCAACUUCUUAGUCAAAAUAAGACACUAAAUUGAGGUAAUAGGGAUAAAGAUUAUUAUGUCUGGUACGUACAUAAUUCAUAAAGAGAAUCAAACAAGAGGCUAGUCAUAAAAGAGAGACGUGAAUUGGUUAGACUUUGCCAAAACCCUAAAAUAGAAAUUGUAUCCAAUCACUUCUUCAGGUUCCCACCAAUUUUACUUGUACAGAUGUGUUAAUAUCUUCAUAUUAUUCUUUUAAACAAAAAUUUUAGAUAUAUACUUAUAGAAGGUUACAAAGAUAGUCCUAAAGCAGAAAGUUCUUUUAAAGUCCAGAUUUCCUAAAAAUAGCACGGGAUAUUACCAAAUACAGCUGAGUAGCUGCUGUUGAGGAUGUCGCCACAGCUGGCACCAUCACCAACAGGACAAAAUGCUGCAGAGUUAGUUAACUUGAGGAACGUCAAGUAAGAAGUCUCAAGAAACCCAAUCCCACCAAGAGCUGCACACCAAUUGUAUGCUGAAAUGCCUGUAUCAGCAGGAGUAUCUGGCAAUACCACCUUAGAUUCUGAUUCUGUCUCUGCAUCUCCGACCUGCCUUGAUGAGCAGUUCACUCGAAGCAACAACAGUCGCCGAACCGAAUCUCUCUUUAAGAAUCAAGCAAUAAAAAUGUCAACAUUAGAGAAGAAGAAAAAAAAAGUGAAUCUUGAAGAGAUGAAGAGUAACUGUACCUUGAGUUGAACGAGAGAAGAUAUGGAAUUAGAGCGAGAUGGAAGAAGAUGAGAGGUCUGGGUUGGAAAAGGAGAAGAUGAUACGCCGAUGAUACUGGCCAUCAGCUCAGAAUUGGAUACCACCGGCCGUGAGUAGUGGUGGUUUGACUAGCUCUGCGGUGGUUGUUGGUCGUUGGUUGAAGUGCAGAAAAUGUUGCUCGUUACUGAAUACGGGGAUUUGGACCGGAACAAAUUUUGGGCUCUGGCUUAUUUUACACAAAACAUCCUUUGCUAAACUGUUUAGUAAGCCUUUGAACAUUUUUGGGCUUGGAGUUCAACAAGAAAGCAAGUGAAAUACUUAGUUAUUAUUGUCUAAAUGUAAUUUAAUUUCUUGACACAACAACCUAUUGAAAAUAAUAUUUUUUAUUUUUUGUGUAUAGGUUUCACUCGUGAAAUUAAAUUGAAUAUGUUAUUGCUUGUUAUUUAAAUAAAACUUGAGCUGAAACAAAAAUAUUGUAAAUAUAUAAAGAUUUUUUGAGUUUUGAAAUCAAUAUUACUUUAGAUUCAAAAUAUUUUCAAUUAAGAUUAAUUGCUUCAAGUAUUUAUGAAUAUUUAUGGACAAAUUAGCAGUGAAAAUAUUGGUCCUCGCUAACUUUGAGUCACGUUAAUUUUUGAAUCAAGGUCUGAUAUAUUUCUGAUCUAAGAAAUGUUAUAUCCAUCUGGUCAGGUUGCAUAAAAUUUGAUAUGAUUAGUAACAAUGAAAUUUGUGAAAAUGUAUGUAUUGGAACCUCGACUGAACUUGAGAAAGUUGAAGAUUUGCAAGUGUAAAUCAACAUUUCACUUUAAAAAUAUAUCUUCAAAUCAAUAUUAUUUAAAAUUUUACAUAAAAUUUGUAUUUACAGGUAUAUUUACAUUACAAGAAUAAUAAAACAGUACUUCAUGCUCACAAACAGUGUUGUUCACCUUCAUGUUACAAGAGUCGUUUGCACCUACUCUUGAUUUUUCUUGUGAAAAAAAGUUUGUGGUAUUCAAUCAAUAAAUUAUAUAGUUUUUAGGAUGCCGACUUGCCAAGUGAUGUACAUUUUCCCCAAAAUUACUUAAUUAUCAAGAAGGAAGGCGACCUUUUAAACUCAUUGAUUACCACAAUUCUUUUAAAAGAUUUGAGUUUAAUUAUGUACAUAAAACUCUAUAACUAUUCUCUUAUUCCGUUCUUCAAGUGAAAUAUAUGUCCAAACACAACUUCAACUUCUAAAAAUCUUUUUUGAACUACAGUAUUUUUUUUUAAUUUUAAUUUCACUCCAUUCAAUCCAAGUGCCUAUUAAGUCUUUUUUGUUGGACUUUUAUUUGCCCCAAUUUCUUAUCAUAAAUAGAUUUUUCCUUUUAGGAAAAAGUUUUGGAUUGACUAAUCCUUUUUCUGGUAGGAAAAUGUUUAGAAUUCUAUAAAUAGAGACAUGUUCCUUUUAAAUUAAUUAACAUCCACUAUGUAGUCUUAAAGGUUUUGAAAGUUUUGGUUAGGAGGAGAAUUUGUGGAUCACAAGCUUGAUAUGUUAUCACUUGUGUGAACCUCCCAUGUAUUCGUAGUGAAUUGGUUGAGAUUGUUUCUCUCUGUAUUUGUACUUUCAUAUUUAUAAUGGAUUGCUCAUCUCCUUUGUGGACGUAGGUCGAUUGAUCGAACCACGUUAAAUCUUUGUGUUUUUUGAUAUAUUUCUCAUUGCACCUACUUAUUUUCAAUCCUAACAUUUUUAUGGACUAAAACCAGAAAGAAAAGAAGUUGUUAAAAGUUCACUUAAGAAACAGAAGAAGCUAGACCAGAAUUUGCAUGAAAUGUGAGCAAAUAUCAAUAAAGAGCACUCUUUGAAGUUUUCAUUUAUUUUCAAAACUAUAAUGUUUUCAAGUGAGUGCAUCUCAUCUUUUUUAGUUCAAGUUUCUAUUUUCUUAUGUUUGUUUCCCACAUCGGAACCCAAAGCAGCACUCGUACGCAAGUAUUCUGUAAUAAAAGCCAAACACUUACACUGAAUGAAGCAUACCUUUCUCGGCCUUUUGGCUAAGAUCAAGUGUAGUAUCUGUUCUUAUCAGUUUAAUAUCUGAUAUGUGGGUCAUUGGCUCACACGAUAUUAACUCAAUUUUUUAAGGGGAAGGGUCUAUUAAGGUAGCUUGCUGCCUGGGCUCUUGCGCGUCGCCCAUGCGUUGCACUGCUGCACGGGCCUGGCGCACCCCACCAAUUUAAGUUACAAUUUCUUUUGGUCUUUAAUUUCGUUUUGUCUGUGAUUACUGGGGUAAUUUUAAUUCUUAGUACUGUAAAAUACAGUCAUGUUACUCUACUAGUCAAAUACCUUUUUCCCACUUUGUUUUUGGAAAAGCUCCAUCUAUAAGGUAAUUCUACCGAUAGACUUGUAUGGAGGGAGUAUUAGCAUUUGCACAGGAAUGAAUAUAAUGUCCCUUUUGUACAGGAAUGAAUAUUAAUUUGUCAUACUGACAAUGCUCAAUGUCCUCCUUUUGUAAUCCUUUUUGCGUAGAAUCUACUGGUAAGGGUUGUCAUGCCAGCUAUGAAGCAAAUUCUUGCUACAAAAAAACUGCAUCUCAUAUUGACUAUGCUCGUCGGUAUAUAGCAGAAGCCAAAUAACUUUCUAGUCUUUCUCGUAAGCAUACCUUUCUCGGCCUUUUGACUAAAAGAUCAAAGUGUAGUUUAUAUUCUUAUCAGUUUUAUAUUUGAACCAUUGAUUAACACGAGACUAACUUGAUUUUUUGACAGGAUGAGAUCAUUAUGGUGGUUUACUGCCUGGCCUCUUGCGCGUCGCCUAUGCGUUGCACUAUCGCACAGGCCCCGUGGAGGUAUAAUAUUUUGUUGGGCCUUUUCUUUGCCUUUCCUGUUUAGUUUAGUCUAAGUAUUCAAUUACGCGGUUAAGUAAAUUUAUACUACUUAAUUAUUCAUCAGAUUAUACUAUUUAAUUACUCAUAGCUAUAAUUUGCUAUAAUUACCACUCAGGACAAACAUUAUUAUAUUAAUCAUGUGGGCUACUUCGAGUUUGUAUAAUCAACUAUAUUUGUAUAUGUAUAAUUCGCCAGAAUAUACAAAUACAUAUGUAUAAUAUACAAUUAUUUAAUUUAUAUAUUCACAUCUCUCCCACUCUCUGGCCUUUUUUCGCUCGCCUCUCCCCUCGCUCUCCCAGUCUCGCUUGCUUUUUAUACAAAUGCAUAUGUAUACUAUAAUUAUCUAAUCAAUAUAUACAUAUACAUUCACCUCUCUCCCACUCUCUGCCCUCUCCCGCUCCGCCUCUCUCCUCCCUCUUCCAAUCCCGCUCGCCUCUCUCCUCUCUCUCUCAAUCUUUCUUGCCAUAUAUAGAGAUACAUACUAUAAUAUACAAUUAUCUAACCAAUAUACAUAUUCAUUCACCUCUCCCCCUUUUGCCCUCUCUCUCCUCUCUCCUCCCUAUAACAUGUAGUUACGAUUUGUAAUUAUCAAACUAGAAUUAUAAUUAUCAAACUAUAUAUAUGGAGAGUAAUUAGAAUAUUUUUAUGUGGUUAUAUGUAAAAGUUCCCCAUUAUUUAUUAAUGAGAAAAUAGUCAAAAGCCCCUCCCAGCUAUUAUCGAAUUCUCAACUACACACUUAUUCUUCACGGGGUCCUAUUACCCUCCUGAACUUUUUUAAUGUGAAAUAUCCCUACAAACUCACGCCCAGAUUUUUAUUAGGUGGUACUCACCACGCGCUUCUACGUAAGAUUACCCUUUUUUUCAUAUAAAAAAGUAAUUAUUCUUUUAUAUUUUCAUCUCCUCCCUUUUUCUUUCUUUUCCCUUCCUCCAUUUCUUUUUCCUUCCUCCAUUUAUUUUUCUUUGAAGCUUCUGCAAAUUGAUGAGAGGACACCAUGACUAUCAAAACUUCAACCUUCACCAAAAUUCUAGACACUAACAAAUUUCGUUUACUAAAAGUAUAGACAAAUGAAAAAGUCUAUCACUAAAUAUUGCUUCUUCUUUUGAUACUAUCAUGUUUCUCAAAGAUUGAUUCUUCAAAGAAUCACCAGUAAAUGAUACUUGCUUGCCGGGAUAAAGGUACCAAACUUGGAGGGACCAGUAUUGAUUUAGAUUUUAUCAAUGUUUAUAUGAGAAAUUUGAUUUAUAUAUGUACAACAAUUGUAAUAAAUGGCUAAUGAUGAAUUCUUCUCCAUUAAUUGAAUCUAUUACAUAGUGAACUCCUCCAUUAAUACUAGUCUAAAGUUAAAUUCUCUUGAUUUUGAUUUUGAGCUACCAACAAAUUUUUAAAGUGAUGAAAAGUAGAGAUAGAAAAGUAUGUGAUUUGGUGAUGAGAUUGACUUAAUGACGAAAACCUAAUGAGAGCGGUAACCUGGUAGCCGAGUUGAGCCACCGCCGUUGUCUAAUCUGAUGAUGAAGAUUGAAGGGAAGAGAUAAAGAAGGUAAAAAAUAAAUAAAAAGAAACAUAUUUUUAAUUAAAAAAUAGAAUAUUAAUAUGAAAUAAAGUUAAUAUUUUAAUUAUCUUUUUAUCUCUCACUCUCACUAUCCCAAAGAGAGCGAACUACACCUUUGCCACAUUAGCUUUUAGGAGCAAAUAACUCCAUUUUUAAAAUAGUUUAGGAGUAUAAUUAAAUCCUCGUAAAGUAUAAAUAUAUAGCUAGGAAAUCGAGUAUAAAUUGGAGGACUUUUGACUAUUUUCUCUUUUAUAAAUUGAAUGAAGUAAUGCACAGAAUUUGUAAUUACGUGUUUGACCAAAUUCCUGAAUGUAUUAUGGGCUAGUUUGUGAGAAGUAGAAAAUUGAGAAUCUAAAUUAAGUGUUAGAUACGUCAUGUUCUAACAUUUUUUAGUAAUUGGGGUAGUAAAUUACCAUAGUUGGCACCUGUAUAUAAAUCAUAGUAAUUGGGGGUAGUAAAUACUACCAUAAUUGGCACCUGUAUAUAAAUAAAUCUUAGUAAUUUGGUUAGUAAAUACCAUAAUUGGUACCUGUAUAUAUUAUUAUCCAAUAAGAGAAAAUAUCGUAUCUGACCUCUCCUAUUAAAAACUAUUAAAUAAAUUAGGCAUCCCUAAAUACAAAUUGAUCAAGUCUAGAUAACUGCAUUUAUAAUCUUCAAUAUCCUUAUAACGAAAUUCCUAAGCCACUUAACGGGUUUUUGGUUCAGUUUCAGUCUUUUCUUUUUUUCUUUUUGGAAUUUCAGUUUUUUGAUUUAGUAUAAUGGUGCUCUUCCAUGUAUCUAAAAAUCAAUUUUUAUUAUUUAGAAAAUAUUUUAAAUCUAAAUUCACCUUUUAAUCCAUUUUGUUACUCUCUUUACUCUUUAGUUGCCACAAAUUAAAUCAGAAUUUUUUUUAAAAAAAAUCAAAAUUUCAUCUAAUACAAAAACGUUGUAUGUUAUUGAUGUAUGUUUGGUCAAUAAAUAGUUUGGUCUAAAAUUAAAAAAAAUUGGUCCUUAUACUUUGAUAAUGUGGUGCUCAUUUUAUUUUUCAUUUGCACUUACAAAAAUAUUUUAAAAUCAACGAAUUAAAUCAUAUCGAAGCGAGAAAAAAUCAAACCCAACUUAUUUGAUUCGAUAUUUACUAUUUGCUUUUGAAAAUUAAAAAAUUAAAUUUUUUAAUACAGUAAAAAAAGCUAUCGAAUUUAUUCGGACCGAUAAAUUGUUAGAAGAAUCUUUAACAAGACAUUUUAUUACUGAUUAUGAAUAUGACAAUAUGUAACUGAUCGAGAGGUGAAUAAUAAUAUUAAGGACAUUGAAAAGUGUGCUUGUGGAUAAAAGGAGGUUAGACUAGAGAUAAAUUAAAAAAAAAAAAAAGUAGGUCCAUUUGGAACUUAUCCAACCAUAGAAUAAUCCAAGUCACUCUCACAUCAUUAUCUGAAUUAUUACAAGUUGUGCAAAAUUGGGAUUCACAUACAUAAUUCUUCUUUACGUGUCUAUCUAUCCAUACACUUGAAAAAAAACCCUCCUGUCUUCACCCAUAAAUAUCAAUCUCCCUUUCAUUUCUCACCAUCAAACAAAAUAAUUGAACAACUUCCACAGGAACAAACAAUCAUGAGAACUAUUUCCCUUCAUUCAACCUCAUUUUCACUUGUUGAGUUCCAUGGUACCAAGAAUUUGGCACAAAGGUAUAUUUAUAUGCAUUGAAAAUUUUCGAUUGAGUUCAUUUUUUCUUCUUCUUCCAAUGGGUGUUUCUUUUAACUCUGUUUUGUGAUUUGAAUGCUACUAGCAGCAGGAUCAAUAGAUCGGUUUCGUUGAUUCCAAUGGCGAGGUCUCAAUUUCAGCCUAAAAUAAGACGUGACAUUGGUACUAGCAAUAGAAAUCCAAGUUUUAGGUGGGUUUUUGAGUAUAUCCCCUGUUUUUGUGUUAUUUCUCUGUUUUUGGCUUUAAAAUGGGUGUUUGAACAAACAAUUUUUGUAGCUGGAUGGCAACAGUUGGAGAGAAAGUGCACAACUCCACGGUUCCUACUUCUGUUCCUGUUCGAGUUGCACUUGAAUUGCUUCAAGCUGGCCAUCGUUAUUUAGAUGUCAGGUAAUGCAAUUUAUGUAAACAAAAAAUAUGCCCUUUAAAUAUUUAUACUAUUUCUUGCAAUAUAUGAUCAGAACAAUUUAAUUUUUUAUCAAUCGUUUGUAUGGAAGAUUCAAUAUUUUAAACAUUUUUUUUUGCGCAGAACUACUGAGGAGUACAAUGAUGGGCAUGCUGCUGGAGCCAUAAACAUUCCUUACAUGCUUAGAAUUGGCUCAGGUUUGAUUAUUAGUAAUUUAAUACUACUCCCUUUUUCUGAGUACUCGAUGUUAACAAUAUUUAAGUUUUUCAAAUAUUUUUUUUACCAGUGUCCUCCUUAUGAUGCAUGAUAGAUUUUUUUUUAAGUGUCAUCGAGUUCUCAAAAAUUGAAAUGGUGGCAAUUAUUAUGCCUGGUUUCUACUUUCUGGGUGUCGAAUGUUUACAUGUAAAAUGUAUUUUGUUCAUCUUACUUCUCUUUCAAUUUUCUUACUUGCUCAUAAACGGAGGGUUAUUUAAUUUUAUACACAUGACUCUGUUACAAUUCUCUGGUACCAUUUUUAUUUCUUUGAAAAUAUUUUGGCAACUUAGCAAACAUAAAUCAUACAGAACUAGAGUUUUAGACCAACUUAAAGAACACUGUAUUGUUUGGUGGUGUACAUAAGAGUGAUUUUUGGUUAGUCUUUGAAGAUAAGUUUUUCAAGUAUCUUUUUUCCUUCUUACGAAAAUGAUUAUUUUUUUUUCGAGUGAAUUGCAUGUUUGAACACAAUUUUAACUUUCAAAUAACCCUUUUUUAACUUCAACUUUAGAUACUAUAUUUUCUAGACCAGAAUUUGCAUGAAAUGUGUUCAAUUAUGAACAAAGAGUACUCUCUGAAGUAGUACUCUGAAGUUUUAUUGUUUUUCACGGUGAUGUUUUAUGCUACUGCAUCAAGUUUCUGUUCUUCUUUGAGUGGUAUAUUAGUUUCCCACAUCGGAACCCAAAGCAGGACUCGUACGCAAGUGUUGUGUAAUAAAAGCCAAACACUUACUCAGUAAUAGGCAUACCUUUCUCGGCCUUUUGGCUAAGAUCAAGUGUAGUAUCUGUUCUUAUCAGUUUAAUAUCUGAUAUGUGGGCCAUUGGCUCACACGAUAUUAACUUAAUUUUUUACGGGGAAGGGUCCAUUAAGGUAGCUUGCUGCCUGGGCUCUUGCGCGUCGCCCAUGCGUUGCACUGCUGCACGGGCCUGGCGCACCCCACCAAUUCAAGUUCAACUUUCUGAUUGUGUUUUUCAUAGUUUUUCUGUACUUUUUCUACCCUAGAUGCAUAAUCCCAGCA
rnacentral:lncRNA from 1 species